rnacentral:lncRNA from 1 species
CAACUCUGUGGCUGGAUGUUACUGCUGAUCUGGAGCUCGUGUCUCUGAACCUAUGGUGUAACAUGAAAGAAAGCACCAUAGCGCAAAUGCGUCAGUACAACUGGAGUACUGAGUAUACGACUGAGGUAGGCUAAUGCAAAAGGGUUUACAUGUAUGAACAAUGAUAAUUGACUGAUUAAUAUGAACGUGAGAAUGUAAACAUACAUACAUAGUAACUGAGAUUGUGAGUACGUGAUAGCUAGAUCUGUACGCUAAUACAUGGUUUACUGAUAGCUGACAUGGCUGAAACUGUAGUUCUGAUAACAUGGACGACUAUAUCUGACAGUCUUAAAUAUGAUGGAACUAUCUGAGUUCUGCACUAUAACUGAAUUUGACUGUAUCUGACAGUCCUGGUAUACUGAUAUCUGAAGAACUAUCUGAGUUCUUUUACUGAUACUGGGUCUAAAAUUGUGGGAGGUAGUUGUUUAACCGACAUGCCCCAUAUGUCCCAUUAUGGCUAAGCUGGGGUUCAAUGUCUGUCCUGACCGGAAGGGUGUCAAUACCGCGCCACUGGUAAGGACAACAUGUGAGCAACCCUUAUAUAACAGGUAACUCUAGUGAGAACAGUGGUAACCCUCAUAUAACAGGUUAAGCCACCUCGUCUACCCUUAUAUAAUAGGCUGCUAUGUCUCAACCUAUGUUGGCUCCAUAGUUUUGGAAUACAAGGAUGACUGUUAAAAAUCACACCCUCAUAUACAGGUGAAUUCUCAUCCUUGGGUUCACUCGGUGAUAACUCCUACUCCCAUCUGGAGAGAUUGAACAUGAUUUAACUGACUGUACGUGAGUGGAACUUUCUAAAUUCCGUUGACUGACGGAAUACUACUGAUAUCUGAUAACUGACUGAGACCAUGAGGUUUCUUGAGUCAUAUAACUGACUGAAUUCUACUGAAUCAUGGCUUGAUUUGUAUAUCGUGAAACAUGACAUGGCUCUAGGCACAUAGCUAUAAUUUUCGGGUACAAAUACCCCCAGGACUCGAUGGAAGAAAACGAACACAACAUGACUGACUUGAUCAUAAGAUUGGAGUCCACAAUUCACAUUAUCAUAAAUAGGGGAUAUUAUACAUCAUGCAGUUCCUCAACAUAUUAAGCAUAGUAAGAAGUGCAUAGCUAUAUUUCAUGUGCAUAUUGUAUAUCUCCAUUAUCAUACAUGCUUCAUACCACAAUAAUAGCAACACAUGAAAAGCAUGGAAUUCAUAUUAAAGUAUAUAGCUAACAUGGACUUGUCAUUUAGACAUCAUGGAACCAUAUAAACAUGAAUUUCUAGCAUCCUAAGCAUUUUAUCGAACACCUUGCAUGCAUUCUUUAAGUCAUAGGUGUGUUUCAUAACUUGUACCAUUUUACACCACCUAAAGUUCAUAGUUUUCAACUAACAAGCAUAUAUAUUCCAUGAAAACACCUCUAGAUAUCACCUUAAAACUUAAACAACAAUCAUCAACAUGUACAUGCUCAUAUCACCAUAAAAAAUCAUAAAAUAGUAUUUAAAACAUGGUUCUUGAUCUCUAUGAAUGGAUUGGAUCUAGAUGAACACUAUGCAUACCUUAGAAGGAAGAUUCUUGAUGAUUGACGGAGGAAUUUCCUUGAAAUUGAAUCUUCAAGAUUGAUUAUGUGACCCUAGUUGUUUUUCUCCUAUUGUGCUCUUAGAUAAAGAACUUUGAGAUGUUAAUAGGGUUGUAAUGUGUUUAAAAGCUAUAAAUUUUGUAAGGCUAAGUUUAGGGACGUGUAAGGAGUGUUAAAAGACUUAAUUAUCCUCAAAAUAACUCAAAAACUAAGUGUUUUCGUGGCUGAAAUCAUAAGUGUGCGUCGCACACCUCAUCGCACAUGCUAAGAUGUGCGCCGCACAUCCUAUCGCACAAGAUGAGGUGUGCGUCUCACAUGCUAUCGCACAACUGAGGUUGUGCGCCGCACAUGCCAUCACACACUUGGUCCAGUAGCCAUGUGCGAUUUGUUAGGCUUCGCACUCCUCUUUGCAAGGCAAUAACUUCAUGCUCGGGUGUCGGAUUUUGGUAAAAUUUGUAUCGUUGGAAAGAUAAUUUGAUUCUCUAUAAAAUGGUGGGUCUAAAUCUUCCAAAAUAUCAUAUAUCAAUCAAUUUAUCCUCAUUCAAAGGUUACUCUUGCGAAAUCAUACACUAAAACUUGAUGGAUUCAAAAGCUAUUAACUCGCAUUACUCUAAGUGACUCAUAUGAUCAUACUUAACACAUCAUAAGCUAUCUUAUCGCUAGGAUACUCAUUGUAAGUCAUGCACUAAAAUACAAAUCACAGUAUAGAAGGUUUCAUACGUAGGAAAACUGGUUAUUAUUGAAAGAAGAGGAUAAAGCCUCCACAUUAAGUCAAGUGGGCUUUUCAUAAUAAGCCACUUGCAGUUUUUAGUAGUUCAAAAAAAAUUAAAGAAUUAUUUAAAUAGAAAAAAAAAUAUAACUUUAAUAAAAUUUGAAAUUCAAAAGUUAAAAUUACAAAUUUGUUUGUAUUUCUAUCUUAAUUGCAUAACUGUUAAAUAAAUCCAAAAAUUUGUGUUAAGUUUUUAUAUUUCACCAAAUGCUUUUUCUUUGAUGAAUUUUUAUUGGUCUCACGCACAUCAUUCUCUCCCAGGAGAGAUCUAUUUCUCUUUCAUUUCUUGCCAAAUAUAUUUAAUUUUUUUCUAUUUAUUUUAGCUCUCUUUAAAAAAAAAUUCAUUUAAUUUGUGAAUCUCAUGGUUAUUAAAAAUUAAUACACCCAAUUUGAAUUCUAUUUUGGCAUUUGGCAUCGAGGAAUCUUCGAUCGCAGAAACAUUCUAAGGCCAGAGUUAAUCUUUCAAAGAACGUUGUUCGUAGUGACUAGAAGAAGAACUGGGCAAAAGCAUCAGAAAAUUUGCAUACAAGAUCUGUAUCUUCUAUUUGCUGAAGCAAGUUCGUAUGGACAUCAAUAUCUCCAGCAAAUUCAUGGGUAUUUUAUUAUUCUAUUUAUGUGUCUAACUUAUGAUCAUAUGGCUUUUGUUCUGAAGCAGCAAAGAAACAUAAUUUGAUGACUACAGUAUGUGCUAGCAAAACAGGUCAUUAACUGAUUUUAUUUAUAUACGGUCUAAUGCUAUGCGGAUUUUAAAUAUAUGUGUAGUACCAACAUAUAAUUGAAGUAAUAAAGUUGUUGGUUUGUUUGUCUGUUGAAACUUUAUAUUGAUAAAUAAUGAUUUAUUCAUGACUAUGAGUUUCAAAAUGAUAUUAUUGCUUAAUAUCACUGACUUUCAUUGUGUCUUAAUCAUGUUUUCUGCAUCAUCUUAUUUUCUCUGUUCUCCAUAAAUCAUAUAUCUUAUUCUUAAUUUAGAUUAAAAAAAUAUGAGUAAAAACUUUUUUAAAGAAAAAAUAUUUAUGAAAUUUCUCUUCAGAUGAUCCAUUUUGAUGUUUCAGUUGCUCGUGCCUAAUAAUAAGGUUUUAAACACUAUUACAAAGUUUUACACUUGUGUUUUCUAGGGAAAUGAAAAGUGAUCUUCAUGUGUAAUAGUGUAAAUGAUAAAAUUAUUAUCUUUGUGCAUUGUUAUCCAUUAAAAUUGAUUUCACAUCAUAAAUUAUAUAAAACCUAUAAUUGACAAUACAGUUUGUUCUAACUUUGACCUGUCUAUAUUUCUUAUAUUACACUUUUUAAUUUAUAGUGAAGUAUUAAGUUUGAAUUCUUACUUUUCUGGAGCUUAGAUUUCUAAAUUGUAGACUUAUUUGUGAUAGUAAAAUUUUACUAUCGACAUCAGUUUGAUUAAUUCACGUUAGUUAUAAUUUUGAUGUCAAUUUUUUUGGUCAUAAGAUAGAGCAACAAAAAUUAAAAAAAGAAAAACAUAAGCUCUGUAUUGCUUCAAUUUGAUUCGAAAUUGAAUUUGAUAAGUUUAAUUUGUGUCAAAAUCUAUAAUCAAUCAUCUCGCAUUUUUUUUACGGCUCAAUAAGAGAUUUCCUCACAGGAUAGGACAUUUACAUUAGACUGCAGAGUGUAUGCUUAGAAGUCCUUAUUCUUCUCAUGGUAGCAGAAGAUAUUCAUGUCCAGAAGGGAUGGAUCAGAAAUCUAUGUUGCAAUUCUACCAGAAGGGAUGGAUCCCAAUUUCUUUUAAAAACAGUUUUCACAAGAAGGGAUGGAUCCAAUUUUUUCUAGAUACGGCAGGUACGCUACGGAGUACAACAGCAAGAGUUUAGAAUCUGUUGAAUAUAAACUAUAUUAUCAUAGGGAUGCGUUAUUUAUAUAUUAAAAAAGGCGAUGUCUGACAUAAGAAAUGCUACAAUAAUUUUUGUGUCCAUUGUGUUUCUUGUACUACGGUCAUUGUUGUCGAAUUUGUUCGAUCGGUGCAAUUAUAUUGAUGUGUUGUUUAUGACUAAAAUCUAGGCUAUGAAAACGUUAAUUCUGAGCGACAAUUUAUCUGAGCAACAUUGAAUUUAGGUGAAACUUUUUUCUUUUGUUCGUUUUUGUUAUUUUUAUUUGUCAUUCCCAUUUUUGUCCUUAUAGUGGCAUAUUAUUAAUUAUUCUUUAAUUGAUGUUUGCAGGUUCAUUUCAUAUUUCAGAAUAUAUAGGUCCUAUGAUCUAAUUAAAGGACACUUAGUAAGGUUAAUCUUAAAUGCCUUGGUGCAGGGUAUAAAAAUCAUUUGAUGUUGGUGGUGAUCGGACUUAAGCAUAAUAAUAAGGUGAAAACUAUGCAUCAUAACUUGGUAAGCAUUUCACACAUAUUAUAUAAAUCAUGUAUAAAGUGAUAUCACAAGAUUGUGCCGCUUUGAUUUCAGCGAUUAGCCUCUUUCCAAGAACAUCAAUCAUAAUCUACAAUUAUUUUUUCUUUUUUUAUUUGUCCUAUUUUUUGUGAUUAAUUGUAGAAUUUAAAUGCUUUUAAUUCUUCUUACCGACGUUUAAAGUAUUUAAUUACAUAUCUUUAAAUUAUCUAUGCAAUGCCUAUCACAACACCACAUGGGUGGUCAUAAAGCAUAGCGCAAUAUGGUGUCUAUGCUCUAUAAGAUCUCACCAGUCAAUGACAGUUCAGUUGGUGAUGCAGGAGAUGCUAUCAUGACGCGAUAAUUUUACUUUGCUGGAUUACGAUAUUUGGACUCUAAUAGCGUGGAUUAACAUCUACGUUCAAACCUGAUAAUGACCUUACUUCAUAAUAUGUUGUGUAUUUUCUAUUUUAAGUUCACGAUGAAGACUAUGUUCUUUUCUGUUUAAAUCUUUUAUACAGAACUCUUCCUCUGUAUUAAUGAGAAUUUAAUCACCUCUUGCUCGAAUAUUGAAAAAUUGACCUCUUCUCUGAAGUAGAGCGAAUAUCAGUAUCCUUUUCCACAUCUAAAGUAUUAUCUUUGUCAAAUUCGAUUGAAUUAUUUUUGAGUUAGUCAUUUAUCCAUGCCAUGUGCCAUUUACUUAUUCUUCUUAUAAGGUUAACCCAUUGAGAAAUAUUACAUUUUCAUUUUUGUCUCUCAACUCAAACAAAAUAUAAAACAAAUGUCCUAAUUGUGAAUCUUCUUAAAAAUAAUAUACAUGCUUGGAGUUUGAACGUUUAUGCAUCAAUAGUCAUUAUGGUAAGAUGAGGUGGUGACACGGAGUUUCUAUAAAAUUCAUUUAGCUUCCAUGUUGUAAGACAUUUUAUUAAUUAUACUUAAACAAAUGUAUCUUACAUUGUCUUUUUCAUGAUUUUAGAUUUUCUAUGUUUUAGGGAGGACCAUUUACUUAAUUUUAUUGAUACUAUACGUUGUUGCUUCAGGAUAUGCACCCAUACACUGAAAAGUUCAAGUGAUGAAUACUACCAAUAUGAGUCAUCUCCAUACAUGCACCUAGAGGUAACUUUUUUUUCCUCUUAAUUCUCUCUUCUUAUGAUUAAACAAAUAAACAAGAACAUAAAUAGUAUGUGCAUUGCACAAAGUUAUAAGUAACUAAAGGAAUCUUCUUUUUUUGGAGGGGGCAUUAACGAAGCAAUGAGAUGACUCAAAGAGGAUGAAGUUGACAAAAAAGUUCUCACAAGUAAAAUUUUGGUAAGAAUAAUUGCAUAGAUCGAGUUAUACAUUGUUAACACUGUCAUGUUUUUCUCUUUUCUUAAAUUUGGAGGCUUAACAAGUAGAUGUCUUCAAUAUAGUCUCUUAUUAGUAUGUUUAUUAAUUAUAUCUUCACCAAUUUUCCUAUUUGCUUUAAUCUUUUAGUGAAUCUUUUUUCUUUUUAAAUUGUUGUGGUACAUUUAUCCUUGCGUUUUAUUUUCUCGAGAAAUAAUUCUCUGUUUUCUUAUUGAUUUAAGUUUAAAUCAGUCUCAUUGACAUUUGAUAACUAUUUAAUAAUUUCUUUGGUCUAAUAUAUAGUAUAAUUUUUUACUAAGUGUACUACAUUGAAAAACAUAAUAACAAUUGAAUUCUUUUUACAAAAAAAUGUAAGUUAUUAUAUAAAUAAGUCAUGUAAAUAUUUGCAAUUAUUAUAAUAUAUAUAUAUAUAUAUAUAUAUAUAUAUAUAUAUGUAUAAAGGAGAAUUGUAGUUCAUCCUAUGUGACAUGUCUAAGAAGUUUUCAGUGCGAUUUAUCUUUUUUCUCCUUUUUAAGAAUUUUUUUUUAUUUUUUUUAAUUUUUUGCUCUAUUUUUUUAAUGUUAUAAUAAUAAAUUACUCUAUAAUUGAUACUUCACAUACUAAUUAAAUAGUUUUAUUGUUUCAGUCACUCAAAUUCCUUAUUUAUGAAGGAAAAAAGAAUUGGAAAAGUCUUUAGCAAUUUCUAUUUAUCUUUUUUUUUUAAAAGAAAAUUUAAUGUCUAAAUAUUUUGAUUAAUUCUUUAUUCUUCUUCCAUAAUUAGUGUGAUUAAUUUGUAUUAACUUUAUUAACAAAAUUUAUAAACUUUCUGUCUCCCCACAUCAAAGAUGAUCACUAACUUAUUUUUAACUUUUCAUCUUCUCCUCUAAUUAUUUAUACUUUUUGAUGACAUUUAAUCUUUUUCUAUCAAUUGUGGAGGAGAAGCCAUUGUUUCCCUUCAUAAUCCCUAUAAAUUUUUAGCUAUUUAUGUUAUGGAAAUUUUGUUUUUCGUAAUUAUCUUUCUUUCUUCUUAAUCUUUUAUACUUAUGAGUUAUGGGAUAAUAAUUAUUAUUGUGAAGGUUUGAUCUUUUCAGCUUUUCUGCACUAUGUAUAUGAAUUGUAUUAUUUUAAAAUUUUGAUCUUAUCAAUUUUUUUCGUAUUGCAAUUACGGGUUGUCAUAUUUUAAAUUUGAUCUUCUUUGUUUUUCUUUCAGGUAUAUGUAAACUCAAGGAAAGUAUUGAAACUAACAAACAAGUAGUAGAAGAUUAUUUAUUUUCGUUUUUCUUCCUUUUUUGAAUUUGUUUCUUUAUUUUCCAGUAAGUAUGAAUUUCAUGCAUUUCAUAGUUCUAUUCUUUAUAUAUCUACGUCCUCCGUUCUUUUCUUUUUAAGUUUUCACUAAUAUAUGCCUUACUAAAUCUUUAAUAUUUUUAAUAAUUUAUGUUCCUCUUAAUUCUAGAAUAAUUAAUAUUUAAAAGUAAAGUUGAAAAAUAAUUAUUCAUAUUCUCUUUUGAUUUUUUAAACUGAUAAAUAUUUAGAAGAAACUAUUUUUAGUAUUUAUGACAACAAAGUAACGAAGGGGGUAUAUAGUCAGGAGUAUAUAGUCGGUUCUCUUUACACUUUACUUUUACGAUAACUACUGUAAUUAACAUCUACUACACCAUAUAAUUUUCUUAUUUAUUUUUAAAUCUAAUAAGAUGAUAUAUGUUCUUAUAUAUGUGUGUAUAUGUUAUAAUUGUGGUAUAUAGCAUGAUUCAUUCAAUUUUACUAUUCUCUCUACUUUUUCUUUGAUUCAAUUCACUCCAACUUGACUUAGGUGACAUAUCAAGAAAGCCAAAAAAAGAAUUAUAUUUCUUUAUUCAAUCUCUUGUGUCUAUACCUUUUAUUUUGCUUAUCAUCAUUUCUUUUUCAAUAAAUUUAAAAAUUUUGUAUUUGUAAGAAAUUUUUUUCAGACUAUUGGCAAACAAGUACACUAAUUACUUGAUAAUUAUCUAUAUUCAUUUCUCAUUUAAAAAGAAAAUGUAUUUAAGAACAUUAAACAAUUAUUAUUUUAAAAAUCUUUCCUCAUCCUACUAAUUUAAUCCGAUUAAACUUAAUUCUAAAGAUGCAAAAAAAAAUGAUAAAAAAAUUGAUUUAUUUUAUUGAAAACAUGCGAAAUCUCAAAUUCAAUAUUGUACUAUAAAAUUUAAAAUUCAUAAAAAUUCAAAAGUCACACGCAAUAAAAGAGACGUCUUGAUAUUAAUUAAUAUUAUUAAUAAUUAACAAUUAAUGAUACAAUAAAUAAGAGAAUGAUACUUGGCAACUACAUGUAUAUAAUGGAUCUUGGGUGUUCAUGUUUUUAUUUGUGUAUUCAAGUUUCUCUAUGUGUGUAUAUUUAUUAUAAAUUAUAUAAAGGAGUCUCGAAUCCUCCUAUUAAGUUGUAUUUCCUCUAAUUCUAAAUAAGCGGUAUUCUUAAUUUUUUUGGUAUGAAUAUUUUAUUUGUUGAACUUUUUAUAAUUAUCUUCAGAUUUUUCUCUGUUUGUAAUUUUUCUUUUUAGUUCCCAUUAACAUAGCUUUAUCUGCAGAUUUUUCUAUUUCUUAGUCUCUCUCUUUGUUUCUACAUUUAGUCCGUGGUGUUGUUUUCUAUAUUUUAUUUAUAAUUAUUUAUUUUUUAUUUAUUUUAGAUUUGUUGUAUUUUUGCAAAUUAAUUUUUACAUGUUUGCUUUUUAUUUUUUGAUGAUGUCUCUUUGUAUUUAAAGCUUCUAUAACACUCCCUUAUGUUUUAUGUUUUGAUACUUGAAUUAAGAAAUUUUAUUUUAAAAAUUAAGGACUUUUGUCCUUAAUUAAAUAUUGUGUACAUCAUAAGACUUGCAGGUUGAAUUAGAAAUGUUUCUGGAGAAAACUGGUGAAAAAGAAUUAAAUAUCUUAAUUUUAUUUUGGUUCAUUAUUUAAAAGCUAAUUCAUUUAUGAAAGCAAUCAAAAGUAAAAACAACAAUGAAUUUCAUUAGGCCGAAUACGUAGGUGGCUUCUUAAACUGAUCUGAAUUUUUCAUUUAGAUCCUCAAAUUAAAAGUUAUAUUAUCUGUUAAAUAAAUUCUUGAAGUGAAAUCAAAUAAUGUCUAUUGAGCUCACAUUAUUGACUUUCAACUAACUCAAAAAAUAGCCUUGCUACUUCUUCGGAGCUAGUGGUAUGGACUGCGUACAUCUUACCCUCCCCAGACCUCACUAUGUGGGAAUACACUGAGUUUAUUGUUGUUGUUGUUGUUGUUGUUGUUGUUGUUGUUGUUGUUGUAACUCAAAAAACAAAAUUCAGUCAACUCGUAGAAUCAAAAUCAUGAAGGGUAUUUUUAAAAAAUUAACUAAUUUAUUUUAAAAUCGCGAGAAGCGCGACAAAUUUCACAAAUUUCUUAAUAUUCCGGGAAAUGCUGUAAUGACCCUACAAAUUAUUUUAAAAAAUUAUCCUGUUUCAACCCACCUUAUAAUUUUUAGCCAUUAUUUAUAGUUAUAUAUGGGUCAAACUAUAUGCAUUUUAAAUUCUUUUAAAUCAUCAAAAUUAUAUGUUAAUGGUUUCUGGGUUAUUAUGCUAUUUUUAUCUAUUAAUUCAAUUUUUAUAGUAGUUUUAUGUUUUUUCCAUCCUUUUAAUGGAUCUUCACUAUAUAAAUGUUCUAAUUUUUUCUUAAUUAUUUCUAUUUUAUUUAUUGAAAAUAUAGUUAUUUCUGUUUUAUUUAUCAAAAACACUACUAGUUCUAUUGUAUCUUCAGUAUUUUUUAUAUUUUUUAACUUUUGUGUAAUUUUUUCACUUCCUUUUAUCCAAUUAGUUUUCUUUCUUAUUUUAUUAUUAACUCUUUUUGCUCUUACUUUCUGUUUACAUGGUGUUGUAAACCACCAGUCUGUUCUAGUUAUUAUAUGUGGGUAUAAUUUAUCUAAAAAUGACAUUUGUAAAAGUAUAUCUUUUGAUGUUAGUUCAUAAUUAUAAAUUUCUUCUAUUGUUAAUAGCUUAUCCCAUACUUGUAUUUUUACAUUCCUAACUUUAUAAGUAAUUAAGCUUCCUUCAUUAUUAAAUCCUUUAACUAUUAUUGGUGUUUUUAAUUUAUCCCAUUUACUUUCUGGUAAGCAAUUAUAUCUACAUAAAUUAGCUUCUGCUCCUGUAUCUAUCAUAGGCGUAUAAUAUCUACUGUAAUAUCCUUCUACUACUAUCUUCAUUAAUACAUAUAUCUUCAUUUCAUGUUAAGGCUCUUUUUAAGAAUAACUUUUCUUUGUUAUAUGUUAAGGUUAAUUGUGUAUGUUCUAUAUUAUAUGGUUUUACUUGUUCUAACCAUUUUAUUCCUAAUAUUAUAUCUGCUUUUUGCAUUUCUUCCUUUACUUCGAAUUCUAUUUUUAUUUUUCUAACUCCUAAUAUUAUUUCUUUUUCUGCUAGAUUUUUAUUAUUUAUUAAACUUCUUGGUAGAUCUGGGCACAUAUCAUUAUCAGUCUUUAUUUCUUCAUUUUUACUAGAUAUUUUGCUAUAUAAUUUUCUUCUUGUCCUGUAUUCAAAAGUAUUAGAUAUUCUUUUUCAUUUAUUUUUCCUGUUAUGUAAUAUUGGUUUAAAUUACUUAUUGAAUUUGUUUCAUAACUUGUUCUUUUUGAUGAGCUUGAUGAUUCUGGCUUUUCAUUAGCUAUUCUUUUCGUUGUACUUAUUCUAUCAUUUACUAUUUCUAAAUUUUCUUCUGUAUCUAUGUCUCUAUAGGUAUAAUCAUUAUAAUCUAUUGUUUUUACUAUUUGUUCGAAUGGGCUUUCUAUUUGUAUUUUGUUAAUCUUAUUUUUUCCUGUUAUUUUAUGUUUUGUUGUUAAUACAUAUAGAUUUUUACAUCUUGCUGUAAAUAUUUUACUUCCUGGGGUUAACUCUAUUCCUGAUAUUUUCCAAUAUAAUACUAAUGAUUUAUCUAUAUUCCUAUCUGUUACUGCUACUGAAUAAUUUGCACUUAUUAUAAAUUUAAAUUUUUGGUAUAUUAGAUUUCCUUUUACGGCAGUUAUUAUGCUUUUUUUCUAUAGGUUUUAUAAUUCUAUCAUCUGCUAAAUAUAAUUCUAUUGGUGUAUCUAUUCCUUUUCUAAAACAUGUUUUUAUUAAUAUCUCUGUACCUCCAAGGUGUACAUAUUUUAUUGGGUCUCCUUUACUUUUUAUAUCAUUUAUUUCUUUAUUAAUUAUUCUUUUUAUAUUAAAAAUUGAUAUUUUUUAAACUCUUGACUCUUAUGUAUAAGAAUAAAAUUUAAGUGGAAGGAUUUAUUAUAUUUAUUAAUAAUAAUAGUUAAUAAUAAAAACCUGAUAGAUUAAAAAUGAGGGGCACAACAAUUUCUACAUCGUGAAACGUUCACCGCUUUAGAAUAGAGUAUCUACGCUUCAGGUUAGUGUACUAAUUAUGUUUGCUUUCCGUGGAUCCGUUUUAUUUGUCUAGUACAUGUAUGACUUGAGAACAAGAAAUAUAUGUUCUUUAUAAUUUAAUGCUAAUCUUAAGAAUUUUAAGAAGGACUAGUGAUUAAAUUGGGUGAAUUAGGAAAGAGGCGGCUGAUGGAAAUAACUUCAGUGGCGGUAGCAUUGGAGUUACGCCUUACGAAGCAGUAGUAAAGGAAUUCUUGGCUUUUCUUAUUCGGUUAAUGUUGGAUUGUUAAGUUAAUGAAAAAGAGUAAUUAUUAUUAAUGGUGUUAAAUUAAUAUAUAUGGUUUAGGAGUGAUUCGAUAAUACCUCAAGAAGUCAAGGAAAUUGAUCAAAUUUUGUUACUGUCGUGUGUCCAGUAUGUUGCUGCCAAUGUUCUUGUUUUUUUUUUUUUUUUUCAUCCACUGAUGCUUAGUGAAUUAGGCAUGGCAUCACUUGUUUUCUUAUUAAUUUAUAAGUACUUUCCAGUUAAAAUUCUCUGGUAUAAUUGUAUUACUAGUCCACCGUAUAUUUAAUAAUAAUAAUCUGGCACGUUAUUAUUUCAAUUUUAACUAUGGCCUAGAAAUUAGUAAUAUCACUAUUUAUCAAUUGGUAUUUCAAGUUUUAAAGUUUUAGAGUAAUUCUUUGAUUCGAUUCUUUUACUUUGGAAGUGAAUUUUUUUAUAGUAAUAUAGGUGUCUUUAGAUUGAUACUCUUAUGGGUAUUACAUAUUUGAACAGAUUUUAAUUAUUUGAAGACUUUACGAAAGGAUAAAUUUGUAAAUUGAUAUUUGGCCGUUAAUUCGAGGCAAGUUGAAACUUUCCUUAGACUUCUUUUCAAAGUGCUUAUUUGAAUAUCUGCUAGUUAUGUGUAAUGGGAGUAAUGGGAAUUGGGGGUCCCAUAUAGAUGAUUGUGACGAGCAUCUAUGUGGGUACCAGUGUUGUUUGAGGGGAUAAAAUAAAUUAAUUAUAUGUUUGAACUAUUUUUUCAUAUUUGCUAGCCCGAUGGAUUGAUUAGUUAUGGUACAUAAAUUAUCGAAAAAGUUAGCUAAUGAUGAUGCUUGCACUUGAUAAGUUGAGUGACUUUGAAAUUGAUGCCUGAUUUGGUUUAAGACACGAAGUGCUUUGCUUGACUUUAUUGAUGAUUUGGGGUCAGAGUUGUACGCCUGCACAUCAUGCAUUGCAUUUCAUAUGGGAUCGGAGUGCACGCCUGUACAAUAUUAUAUAUAUUUAAUAGGAUCGGAGUAUACGCCUGCACGGUAUUAUAUAUAUUUAUUGGGAUCGGAGUACACGCUUACACAGUAUAUUUAUUGGGAGCGGAGUGCACGCCUGCACAAUAUAUUUAUUGGGAUCAGAGCGCAUGCCUGCAUAGUAUAUUUAUUGAGAGCGGAGUGCACGCCUGCAUAAUCUACAUAUUGGGAUCAGAGUGCACGCCUGCACAGUAUAUGCAUUUGCGUUGCAUUGCAUUGCAUUACAUUGCAUUGAUUCAUUUGGUUCAGAUUGGUUAAAGUUUGUUUGGUGAUCUUGUACUUACUGUAUAUGUGUUAUUUAUCUUACUGGAUUGAGAAUUUCUUAGAUUGUGUAUGAUAUCCUAAUGAUUGUUAAAUUUAACUAUUCAGUUAGAUUAGGAUGAUUUUUCCUGAGUGCAGGUCGUAUGUUUAUUUUUAGAUGAUUUACGUGGUGUCACUCUUCACCAUUUUGAAUUAGGAUCGGUCAACGAUGCUUGCUGAGUACACGUGGUUCCGUACUCACCCUUGUUUUUUCUGCACCCUACAUGCAAGUACCGAUCGGACGACCUCCGGAUAUUGACUCCCGUGGUUUCUUCUUUGCUAGCAUCAUUGGAGAUUCAAGGUUGCUGCUAUUGGCUUUAGAGACUACUGAAAUCUCCUUCAGCCUUGCUCUUAUGCACUUUUCGCAUUUUGAAACACUCAAACUUUCUUUUGGUUUUGUAUUUAGUGGCUUGUAUUAGUGACUUCCAGACUUGGAAUUACCCAUGAUUUGUUUUUUUUUCUAGUCUAUUAAUCUACUUAUGAGAUUAUUCGGGAUUGGUUAUGUUCGUAUUGUCUUCCGCUUAUCUAAGUUUAGAUGUGGUUCUUGGAAUUGGGUAUUUGGCUUACCUAUCACGGAGGAUGGAAUAGGUGCCAUCACGGUCCCGAAUUUGGUCCGUGACAGAGGGUAUCAGAGCUCCAGGUUCAUUGGUCUCACAAAUACAAGCCGAGUCUAGCAGAUCGGUGUGAAGACGUCCAUUACUUAUCUUCGAGAGGCUAUAGGACUUUAGGAAACAUUCAUUUUAUUCUCUCACUUAUCGUGCAAUAUUGAUCUUUUAACUUUAAAUAUUGAAAUUCUUAUCUUAUACUCUCACCGAAGGUGAGAACUCAUGCACCUCAGAAUCACGGUCAGGAUCCUUCACCAGCCCCCGAGCCGAUUGCUCGAGAAAGGGAUACCUAGAUGGGGUAAGAGACACGGUAGGGGCAGAGGUCGUGGUAGCGAAAUAGCUUGAGGGGCUGCUUAGAUUUCUGGUAGGGCAGGGUCUCUCGAGGUUGAGUUUGAGGCCGAGAUGAUCAGGAGGUUUAUGAGGAGUUUGACACUUAAGAUCAGAGAGACCGUGUUUGUUGUAGCCCAAUCUAGGGCUUCUCUUCAGAGGGUUGUUGAAUCGGUAAAAGAGUUUGAUUUGAUGCAUCGGGAGGAGUAUGGGGAUCUGAAGGAAAAGAGGUCCCAUACUUUAAGUCGAUUCAGUGGUACCUCAUAUGGAGGUAAGGGUUCUUUCAGAAGAGAUUUUCGCCUUCAACAUGGUAGGCUAGUUCAGGUAGCGAUGCAGACAACAGAAGGUGGAUAUUUAGGUCGAAGUUCUUAUGGUUCAGGACAUGCUUCAUAGGGUUUAUAUCAGCGGUUUUCAGGCCGUGGUAGCCAUACCGUAUAUUCAGGUCUUUCUCGAUAGUUGGUGGUUCCUAAGUAUUGUUAUGAGUGUGGUAGUCAGGAUUAUCUUCGGAGAGAUUGUCCAGCAUAUAGGCAGAGGUGUCUGCAACAGAGUUAUCAGGCUCCUAUUAGACCAGCAGUGCCCCCAGUUAGGGGUAGAGGCAGAUUUUAGAGAGGUAGAGGUACACCACCAGCUGGUAGGGGAGGUGGUAGAGGAGUGAUUCGGCCGAUAGAUAACAAAGCUUAGUGUUAUGCCUUUCUAGUGAAGCCCGAGGUAGAGUUCUGAUGCAGUCAUUACAGGUAUUGUCUCUGUUUAUCAUUGACCUGCUUUGGUAUUAUUUGAUCCUGGUUCUACUUUCUCCCGUGUCUGCAUACUUUCCUUCCAGCUUUGAUAUGAGUUAUAAGUCCAUGGAUGUGCCUAUUUGUGUUUCUACUCCAGUAGGUGAUUCCUUAGUGGUGGAUCGGGUAUAUCGAUCCUGAAUUAUUUCAAUUUUGGGGUGUGAUACCUGGGUAGAUUUAAUUAUCCUGGAUAUGGUUAAAUUUGAUGUAAUUUUAGGCAUGGAUUGUCUUUCUUCUUACUAUGCUGUCUUGGACUGUCAUGCCAAGAUAAUUACUUUAGCCAUGCCCGAUCUCCCUAGAUUAGAGUGGAGCGGUGUUCGGAGUUCACAUCCUAAGAAGGUGAUUUCAUUCAUUCAGGCUCAACGGUUACUUGAGAAAGAUUGUCUUUCAUAUUUAGCUUAAAUUCGUGAUACUGGUAUCGAGGCACCUUCUUUACAGUCAGUGGAGGUGGUUAGAGAGUUCAUAGAUGUAUUUCCUACUUAUCUUUCAGGUGUUUCUCCUGAUAGAGAUAUUGAUUUCGAUAUUGAUUUUAAGCCGAGCACUAAGACCAUUUGUAUUUCUUCUUAUAGGACGGCGCAGGCUGAGCUGAAAGAAUUGAAAGAUCAGCUUCAGGACUUAUUAAGCAGGGGGUUUAUUCGACCAAACGUAUUACCUUGGGGUGCUCCGGUGUUAUUUGUGAAGAAGAAAGAUGGGUCUAUGAGAAUAUGCAUUGAUUAUUGGCAGUUGAACAAAGUGACAAUCAAGAAUAAGUAUCCUCUACCGCGUAUUGAUGAAUUGUUUGAUCAGCUUUAAGGUGCUUCUGUGUUUUUGAAGAUUGACUUGAGAUCGGGGUAUCAUCAGUUGAAGAUUCGAGCUUCGAACAUUCUUAAGACUACUUUUCGGACUAGAUAUGACCACUAUGAGUUCUUAGUUAUGUCCUUUGUCUUGACUAAUGCCCCAGCAGCGUUUAUGGAGUUGAUGAACAGGGUAUUUCGAUCUUAUCUUGAUUCUUUUGUGAUUGUGUUCAUCGAUGACAUUUUGGUGUAUUCUAAGAGCGUGGCAGAUCAUGCAAUACAUUUGAGGAUCGUACUCUAUAGGUUGAGGGACAAGAAGUUAUAUGCUAAGUUUUCAAAGUGUGAAUUUUGGCUUAGUUUUUUGGAAUUCUUGCGACACGUGGUGUCCAAGGAUGGUAUUAUGGUCAAUCCAGCCAAGGUCGAGGCAGUUAGGAAUUAGUCACGACCUACUUCACCUUUAGAUAUUCAGAGUUUUUAUUGGGUUGACAGGCUAUUACAGGUGAUUUUUGUAGGGUUUCUCUUCUAUUGCAGCUCUAAUGACUCGAUUGACUCAGAAGGAUGUGGCUUUUCAGUGGUCAGAUAAGUGCAAGGAGAGCUUUCAAAAGCUCAACACUUUAUUGACUUCAACUCUUAUCUUGACCCUACCUAUUGAAGGUAAGGGUUUCAUCGUGUUUUGUGAUGCUUCCGAUAUUAGCUUGGGUGGUGUGUUGAUGCAGAGAAAUAAGGUGAUAGCAUAUGCUUUGAGGCAGUUGAAGCCACAUGAGAGGAAUUAUCCUACUCAUGAUUUAGUGUUACUAGCGGUUGUGUUCGUAUUGAAGUUGUGGCAGCACUAUUUGUAUGGAGUUCAUUGUGAGGUAUAUACUGAUCAUUGUAGCCUUCAGUAUUUUCUCAAACAGAAGGAGUUGAAUUUGAGGUAGCAUAGAUAGACGAAGUUAUUGAAAGAUUAUGUUAUGACUAUCCUGUAUCAUCCGGGCAAGGCAAAUGUAGUGGCGGAUGCCUUGAGUAGGAAGACAGUUAGUAUGGGUAGUCUUGCAUUGUGGAGUGUGGAGUAGCGACCAUUAGCCAUGGAGGUUCAACGGUUGGCUAACAGUUUUGUGCAUCUUGAUAUUUUUGAGUCAAGUAGAGUUUUGGCAUAUGUAGAGGGGAGGUCUUUGUUGAUAGGGCAGAUUCGAGAUCGUUAGUUUGAGGAUGAAAAGUUGUGUAUUAUCGGGGAUAAGGUGAUGCGAGGUGAGGCUAAGGAGGUGACUUUGGACCAGGAGGGUGUUUUGAGGAUUAAGGGGAGGAUUUGUGUUCCUAGAAUGGGUGAUUUGACUAGAUCUAUUAUGGAGGAGGCCCAUUGUUCGCGCUAUUCCAUUUAUCCAGGUGCAGUGAUGAUGUAUCAUGACCUUAAACAACAUUACUGGUGGUAUGGGAUGAAGAGAGAUGUGCAGAGUUUGUGGCUAAGUGUUUGAAUUGUCAGCAGGUGAAAUAUGAGCACAAGAGACCAGGUGGUUUGCUUCAGAGGAUGCCUAUUCCCGAGUGAAAAUGGGAGCGUAUCACUAUGUAUUUUGUAGUUGAAUUGCCUCAGACCUUGGGGAAGUUUGAUUCUGUUUGGGUGAUUGUGGACAGAUUGACCAAACCAGCCCAUUUUGUGCCUAUGAAAAUGAGCUAUAAUGCAGAGAAAUUGACUAAGAUUUACAUUCGUGAGAUAGUUCGAUUGCAUGGUGUGCCUGUUUCUAUUAUUUCGGAUAAAGGUACUCAAUUCACUUUAAAUUUUUGGCUUACUUUGCAGCGGGAGUUGUGUACUCAGUUGGAUAUGAGUACAACAUUCCAUCCCCAAACAAAUGACCAGUCAGAGCGGACUAUUCAGGUGUUAGAAGACAUGUUGCGGGCUUGUGUGAUGGAUUUUGGGGGUCAUUGGGAUUAGUUUUUGCCUUUCAUGGAGUUUUCUUAUAAUAAUAGCUACCACUCUAGUAUUCAGAUGGCUUCGUUCGAGGCUUUCUAUGGUAGGAAGUGUAGGUCCCCAGUUGGAUGGUUUGAUUCUUUUGAGGUUAGAUCUUGGGGUACUGAUUUGUUGGGAGAUUCCAUGGACCGAGUAAGAUUGAUUCAGGAUCAGCUCUUGGCGGAUCAGAGUAGACAAAAGAGUUAUGCUAACAGAAGUGUCCGUGACUUAGAGUUCAUGCAGGGUGAGUGAGUAUUGUUGAAGGUAUCACCCAUGAAGGGUGUGAUGAGGUUUGGAAAGAAAGGAAAACUCAAUCCGAGGUUUAUUGACUCUUUUGAGAUUCUUCAGCAUGUUGGUCCAGUUGCUUAUGAGUUGACUUUACCACCGGGUCUUUCAGCCGUACAUCCAGUUUUUCAUGUUUCUAUGUUGAAGAGGUACCAUCCAAAUGAUUCGCAUGUGAUUCAGUGGGACUCAGUGAGUUUGGACCAGAAUUUGACUUUUGAGGAGGAGCCCAUUGCUAUCUUGGAUAGGCAGGUUAGAAAGUUAAGAUCCAAGGAGAUAGCCUCUGUGAAGGUGCAGUGGUGGCAUCAUCCUCUUGCUGAAUCUACUUAGGAGGUUGAGUCCGACAUACGGAGUAGAUAUCCACAUCUAUUUGAUAGUCUGGGUACCUUCUUUCUUUUUACGUUUGAGGAUAAACGUUUGUUUUAGUGGUGGAUGAUGUAAUGACCCUGCAAACAGUAGUAUAGGAAUUCUUGGCUUUUCUUAUUCGGUUAAUGUUGGAUUACUAAGUUAAUAAAAAAGAGUAAUUAUUAUUAAUGGUGUUAAAUAAAUAUAUAUGAUUUAGGCGUGAUUGGUUAAUACCUCAAGAUGUCAAGGAAGUUGAUCAAAUUUUGUUACUGUCGUGUGUCCAGUAUGUUGCUGCCAAUGUUCUUGUUUUUUUUUUUCUUUUUUCAUCCACUGAUUAGUGAAUUAGGCAUGGCAUCACUUGUUUUCUUAUUAAUUUAUAAGUACUUUUCAGUUAAAAUUCUCUUGUAUAAUUGUAUUACUAGUCCACCGUAUAUUUAAUAAUAAUUUGCCACGUUAUUAUUUCAAUUUUAACUAUGGCCUUGAAAUUGGUAAUAUGACUAUUUAUCAAUAAGUAUUUCAAUUUUUGAAGUUUUAGAGUAAUUCUUUGAUUCGAUUCUUAUAUUUUGGAAGUGAAAUUUUUUAUAGUAAUAUAGGUGUCAUUAGAUUGAUACUCUUAUGGUAUUACAUAUUUAAACAGAUUUUAAUUAUUUAGAGACUUUACGUUGUAAAUUGAUAUUUGUACGUUAAUUCGAGGCAACUUGAUUAUUUGAAUAUUUGCUAGUUAUGUGUAAUGGGAGUAAUGAGAAUUGAGGGUCCCGUAUAGAUGAUUGUGACAAGCAUCUAUACGGGUAUCGGUGUUGUUUGAGGGGAUAAAAUAAAUUAAUUGUAUGUUUAAACUGUUUUUCCUAUUUGCUAGCCCGAUGGACUAGUUGGUUAUGGUACAUAAAUUAUCGAAAAAAUUAGCUAAUGAUGAUGCUUGCACUUGAUAAGUUGAGUGACUUUGAAAUUGAUGUUUGAUCUGGUUUAAGACAUGAAGUGCUUUACUUGACUUUAUUGAUGAUUUGGGGUUGGAGUUGCAUGCCUGCACAUCAUGCAUUGCAUUUCAUAUGAGAUCGGAGUGCACACCUGCACAGUAUUAUAUAUAUUUAAUGGGAUCGGAGUGUACGCCUGCACAAUAUUAUACAUAUUUAUUGGGAUCGGAGUGCACGCCUGAACAGUGGUGGAACCAGAGUUUGAGGUAAGGGUGUUCAUAAAAUUCAUAUGAGAUCGGAGUGCACGCCUGAACAGUAUUAUAUAUUUAAUGGGAUCGGAGUGUACUCCUGCACAGUAUUAUACAUAUUUAUUGGGAUCGGAGUGCACGCCUGAACAGUGGUGGAGCCAGAGUUUGGGGUAAGGGUGUUCAUAAAAAUGAAAAAAAAAUGUUGCUGCACCUACCAGAAUUCGAACCCAGGUUGGGGCUACGGAUUUGAACAUCCUUAACUAUUAGGCUAUGUUUCUUUAGCUUGUCAAGGGUGUUCAACAAUAUAUAUAUAUAAUCAUAAAUAUCUAUAUUUAACGUAUAUGCUCAGAAAUUUUUUCCGACAAAGGGUGUUCAUCUGACCACCUUUCGGUGGCUGUAGCUCCGCCCCUGCGUCUAAAUAGUAGAUUUAUUGAAAACGGAGUGCACGCCUACACAAUAUAUUUAUUAGGAUUGGAGUGCAUGCCUUCACAGUAUAUUUAUUGAGAGCGGAGUGCACGCCUGCACAAUAUACAUAUUGGGAUUGGAGUGCACGCCUGAGCAGUAUGUGUAUUUGCAUUGCAUUGAUUCAUUUGGUUUAGAUUGGUUAAAGUGUGUUUGUUGAUCUUGUACUUACUGUAUAUAUGUUAUUUAUCUCACUAGAUUGAGAAUUUCUUAGAUUGUGUAUGAUAUUCUUAUAACUGUUAAACUUGACUAUUCAGUUAGAUUAGGAUGAUUUUUCCUGAGUGCAGGUCGUAUGUUUGUUUUCAGAUGAUUUACGUGGUGUCACUCGUCACCACUUUGAAUUAGGAUCGGUCGACGAUGCUUGCUGAGUACACGUGGUUCCGUACUCACCCUUGCUUUUUCUGCACCCUACGUGCAGGUACCGAUCGGACGACCUCCGGAUAUUGACUCCCGUGGUUUCUUCUUUGCUAGCAUCAUUGGAGAUUCAAGGUUGCUGCUAUUGGCUUUAGAGACUACUGAAAUCUCUUUCAGCCUUAUUCUUAUGCAUUUUUCGCAUUUUGAAACACUCAAACUUUCUUUUGGUUCUGUAUUUAGUGGCUUGUAUUAGUGACUUCCAGACCUGAGAUUACCUAUGAUUUUUUUUUCUAGUCUAUUAAUCUACUUAUAAGAUUAUUUGGGAUUGAUUAUGUUUGUAUUGUCUUCCACUUAUGUGAAUUUAGAUGUGGUUCUUGAAAUUGGGUAUUUGGCUUACCUAUCACGGAGGAUGGAAUAUGUACUAUCACGGACCCGAAUUUGGGCUGUGACAAAAGCGCGGUACAAAUACUAGUAAUGUAUAAUAAUUGAGGACAAUAUCGUUUAUUUAAUUAGACAUUAUUUUAUUUAAAAAUAAAUAAAUAAAAUAGAAUUGAUUUUUUAAUUUAUUUUGAUUUAAAUAAACCGACGGACAAGAUCGAGAACUCGCCCUUUUUAUCGUCAAAUAAAUGAUCAAUUAUUUAAUGAUGAAAGUGGGAAAUCGACCGUGGUUUCAUCGAUUUCAUUAUUCUAGAUCGAAAUUUUUCCUUUUAUUUUCUUCUCUCUCUUUUCUGUCCUCUCUAGCUCUACCAACUCUGCAAUGUCCUUUGGCAACCUCCGAAAUAAGUUUCUGCCUCCACCUUUGCUAGGCUGCCAUUUCAAAAUGCCCAAGUUACAAGGUUAGAUUUUUCGUUGCAAUUACUUUGUGAUUGUUAGAUGUUAGGUGCAAUGUUAAUGUAUUAGUUUAUUUAGGAAAUUUUCUAUGCAUUAGUUUAGAGUUUUACUUGAAUUUAUGUUUAGGUUAUUAACUUGAAUUUUUAUUAGGAUUAUUAACUUGAAUUUGUGUUAAGAAAAUUCAGAUUCAAUGGUAAUGUAUAAGUUCUUUUGUAUUUUACUUGAUGGUUAGGGUUUAACUUGAAUUUGUGUUAAAAUAGAGACAUUAUUAAUGUAUUAAUUUUAUUUGUUAAGACUUUGGUGGUAAUGAUGAUUUUGAUUUCUCCUCUUUAUUUUGGAAUGACUAUAUAUGAUCUUCAUUGUCAAUAUAAAUAUAUAAGUUCUUUUUUUUUUGGGUAAACAAAAGCAUUUUAUUACAAAGAUGAGAAUUACAAAAUAGAGAAGAAGGAUAUCGUUAUAAAGGUUCCAUCUGCCUUCAAACCUCAUUAACCACUAUCACUAGGAAAACACAACAUUCCACUAUUUCUAGACUAGAUAACACUCCAGUGAUCGUGGCUUCACUUUAUGCCCCUUCUUAUAUUUUCACUAUUAGGAUAUACUAUAAAUCAUAUGAUUUUGAUGUACUAUUAUUUAUUGAAUGAUUAUUUAUUUAUUUAUAUAUUUAAUUUAAUAAAUCAUUACAUUAAAUAGAUCAUUGUCAUAUAUGUGUCCUUAACUUAUAUAGUAGAUGAUUUGGUGUAUAUAGUUAAAGCUUAUACACAGAAGAUUAAAUUAUCAGUUCUUAUAAGUUAAAGUUAUAGUUCACAAUCGUAGAUGAAAAUUUGGACUUACUAUCAGAAUGAUUGUAGCACAAGAUUAAAUGUAAUUUAUCUUUGAUUACGAGAAUGGUAUAGUUCUAACUUCUCAUGCUAGUGCAUUUUGUAUGUAUUGAAUUGGACCGAGUAGUGAUAGUUGUUUUGGACUGACUGAUAAAAACAUAUUCUCUAAAUUGUUAAAUGUACUUAUAUUCUCAAUCUUGAUAUAACUAUUAUGAUCUGUAUACAUUAUUUAUAGCAUUGAUCAAUUAAAAGGUGAGAUUCUGAGAUGGGUCAAUACUCCUGAUACACUGGAUGAUAAUAAUGUAUAUUGGUGAAAUAAUAAGUUAGUUGAUGGAAUUCAUGUCUUGGUAUGAAAAAUGAUCAUACGUCCUUUAUGACAAGCUUAUGAGUUUUCAUGCGUAAACUCGAUCGGUGGAUUUAUGAAUCCGACAUAUGAAAUAAGUUAAACAUUGUUCUAAAUGAAAUUAUAUAUUAAAUUCGGCAGUAAUUUAAUUUAUUGAUUAGUAUCUGUAAUCUUAAUAUGGAAAAUUAAUAAGUGUUUAAUGAAAAAUUCAAAAUUAAAAUAGAUGAAUGCAAUUACGAAUAUUUAAUGGAAUAAUUUAUAAUUUAUUAUGGUAAGAAUAAUUCAAAUUGAUGUUUUGAAUUAUUUUCAUAAUAGGGACCUCAUUAAUUAGUUCCGUGGUCCAUACAAUGCCCAUAUUAUACUUAGAACUCGGAAUUCUAUUUUCUCUAGGAAAAUAAAAAGUCACUGCUUGUCCUUGUUCAAGUAGAAAUAGGUGUGUGUUUUCUUUUCCUCCUUGGAUUGGGGAGUAUCUCUAUAAAUAGAGAUUUUCCUAGCCUAGAAAUUCAACAACAAGAAAAAGAAUUGAGUAUUUUAUUACAUACUUGCCCACCCAAGUAUUGAGAGAGUUCGGCUGUGAAUUUGGCAUCACUGUAGAAGACAACAUAUUCAAAGACGCAUUCGCUUCAAGAUAUCUUCUCACGUUUCAAGAGGUAUUUCUGAUUAUUUUUAAGCAUCCUUUGCGUGAAUUAUGUGUUCAUAUUGGUUGUGUAUAUUACAUGCAAGUGAUCUUGUCUAUUUGUUUCCAGUAUGCUUGUUUUCCAACAAGUGACAUCACGAGCCUACUUGCAUCUAAAUAGAUUAGUAUAAUAUAUUUGUAUAUAUGUGAUAGAGAGUGAUAUUAUAUACAUGAAUAUGUGUUUUUCAUUUCGUGAAUUGCGAUUUAGCGGAGAAAGUUUGUCCCAAAACUGCUUCCUUCGUGAUUGGAAUCUGGAUCAUGUUGGUGACGGUGAGAAGGACAUGAAUCUUUCUAAGUUUGACUCGUGUAGAAAAUAAUAAUAAAGAAAAGCAAGAACAAGAACGUGUUUGGAGUUUCCUGGCGAGGUAAGGUCACUCAGAAUCAGAGGAUUUAGAAUUUAAAUUUAAAAGUUGUGGGUUUCCAACUUAUAAUUUUUAUCAAUAGACUAAUAACACACUUUGUUUGUGGGUUCCAACUUAUAAUUCUUAUAUAUUUACUAGUUUUCUCAAUAUAAAUUUAAGAAUCGGACGAAAGUUAUGGGUUCCUGAGAACCGCACUUUAUGUUGUGCAUCCGCCCGCCCCUGCCCAGAAUAUAACUUUCUGAACGUUCGUUGUUUGCUGCACUUUGAGUGAUUGAUUGUUACUUUAUUUCUAUAGCAGCAUACAAAAAUUCAAGCACGUUGUGAUAUAUCUUUUGGUGAUUAUCUAAUUUUUUUCCUCUUUUUAAACUAAGAGAAAGAGUUGACAAUUAUUAGGCACAUUAUACCUUAUGGUAAUGGCAACUGACAUGUGCGUACUAGUACAAAUAUUGGGAACUAAUGAUUAAAGAAUUGUGAUCAUCAUAGUGGUAAAUUAAUUUCGGAUCAUUGAAAAGCUAUUAAUAUUUUGAACUCAUAAAGGUCAUAUCACUCGUUAAUCACAUGAACGUUUUUUUUCUCACAAUAUCUUAUAACGUAUGAAUAAGAAUUAAUGAUUAAAUAAUAAAUAAUUACUAAGAGAGUGAUUUAUUUAUUUGGAAACAUUCACAAUUCUUAAUCUUUUAUAUAUGUGGGAUUAUAAUACAUUUGAGAAUUAUGACUAAUAAAUAGGAUCCAUUAUAAGUAGUCUACUUAUUUGAGUUAUUGUAAAUUCUUAAUGUUUUAUAUAUGUGGGAUUCUAUUAAUACAUAAGUUGAGAAUAAUGAUUAAUAAAUAGUAUCUAAGAAAGUGAUCUAUUUAUUUGAGUCAUUAAAAUUAGCUCAAUAUAUUAUGUAUAAAUUUUUCCGAAUAAGUGUACAUGAGAACAUAUAUUAAAGGUUUUCACCCAAACGGAGAAAACGCAAUAUAUUGAACUCUUAGGUAUAUUAAUGAAGAGAAAUAAGUUGUGUAAAGAGGGUUCAUCCCUAUGGUUACCAAGAUUAAAUAGUAAUAAAGUAUUAAGUUUAUGUGUUGUCUUGGACCUUCCUCCCUAUCGAAUGAAUUUAGUACAAGUCAUGUAUAUAAUCUUUAGUUUGAUAAUCUGUAUUAACUCUCCUAAACUGAGUAAUAUAUGAUUGAAUCAAUGUAACUAGAGUAGGUUUUCACUUAAACUAAUAGUAUACUCUCCAUCUGAGUUUGGUCCGUAAAAGUUUAUGAAGUGAAUAAUUGGUUAUUAUAUAUGUUUAUUGCAUGAGUAGUUCUCCAAUCCCAUCGAUUGGUUAUUUGAGAUGAAUAAAUAUAUGUGUAUAUGAUGAGUUUGAACUUAACCGUUCAAUGUAUAUAUGAUUAUGUUGAUGAUCUAUUGUAAUAUUUUUCAAUCUUAGAUUCAAUAUGUCUCCUUUUACCUCUUUUAGCACUAUUUUGAGUCAAAAUAAACUUGAGAACCAUAAUUUUAUUAAGAAAAGUUCUAUUUUUAAAUCAAAAUAUGGAAAGAAGAAGAUAAAGACUCACAAUACUAAGAAAUGAUAGCUCUAACUGGCAGUGUGAAAAAUCCUAACGACAAGUGUUUUCAUUACAAGAUAUUAGGCCAUUGGAAGACACAUUGUCCAGUUUUCCUAGCCAAGAAGAAAAACAAGCUAGAUUCACUUUCACUUGUUGUUGAAACGUGUUUAGUGAUUGUUUCUACCACAUCAUGAUGUGUAGAUUCAGGAGCCACUGAUCACAUCUGCACUACUUUGCAGGGGUUUUAAGAAAUGCGCAAAGUUGAAUAGAGGUAAAAUUUGUGUUUUUCAGGCUGAUGAUUCAACAACUCCAGCUUUAGCAUUAGGAAGUAUUAGUAUUUCGUUUGAUAAUUGUAGAGUUUUAAUUUUAAAGACGUAUUAUAUAUAUCCACUGUUAGAAGAAAUUUGAUUUCAGUUUUUGAAGUUUUGAGAUAUGGUUAUAAUGUUAAUUUUUUUUAAUAAUGGUUGUGUUAUUAGUUAUCAAGUACCUACGACAUGAGAAAUUUAUCAAGUAGAUCUAAUUGUAAUACCCCGGGAAAUUUUUCGUUGAAAUUUUGUACGUAAACAUGUUGGGUUCUAUCUUCUAGAAUGUACUAUAAAUUUUUUGUGCGGAAUAUCUUAGAUUAUGACCCACCAUUGCAUAGAGUAUCAAAUAAACUUUCAGACGAUAUGUGGAUCAUCCAAAUCGGACACCCGAGCGACGAGUUAUGAACAUUUCGAUCGAACUGUGAAUAGUAGUGAACAGUAAAACGUGCAGGAAAAAGUACUGAGGCCUGGUGUAUUUUUGCUCCAACUUUAAACGAUCAUAACUCCUUGUACAUAAUGAUCUGGGUGAUCUACUAUAUAUCAACGGAAAGCUCUGCGAGUCCUCUCUCCAAUGAAAUUGGUUUCAUCCAAUUUGUCUAUCGAAGCAAAAAGUUAUGGUCGAUCUACUUCAGCCUAUCAAAAGUGAAUUUUUGGGUCAACUUCAAACAAUCAUAACUCCUCGUACAUAAUGAUAUGGAUGGGAUACUAUAUAUCAACGGAAAUAUAUGAGAGUCCUCUUUCUAAUGAAAUUGGUUUCAUCCAAUUUGGAUAUCGGAGUAAAACGUUAUGGUUGAUCUACUUCAGACUAUCAAAAUAGUCCACCAAAGGACAGAUUCGAGAAUUAUUUGAUUUUUANNNNNNNNNNNNNNNNNNNNNNNNNNNNNNNNNNNNNNNNNNNNNNNNNNNNNNNNNNNNNNNNNNNNNNNNNNNNNNNNNNNNNNNNNNNNNNNNNNNNNNNNNNNNNNNNNNNNNNNNNNNNNNNNNNNNNNNNNNNNNNNNNNNNNNNNNNNNNNNNNNNNNNNNNNNNNNNNNNNNNNNNNNNNNNNNNNNNNNNNNNNNNNNNNNNNNNNNNNNNNNNNNNNNNNNNNNNNNNNNNNNNNNNNNNNNNNNNNNNNNNNNNNNNNNNNNNNNNNNNNNNNNNNNNNNNNNNNNNNNNNNNNNNNNNNNNNNNNNNNNNNNNNNNNNNNNNNNNNNNNNNNNNNNNNNNNNNNNNNNNNNNNNNNNNNNNNNNNNNNNNNNNNNNNNNNNNNNNNNNNNNNNNNNNNNNNNNNNNNNNNNNNNNNNNNNNNNNNNNNNNNNNNNNNNNNNNNNNNNNNNNNNNNNNNNNNNNNNNNNNNNNNNNNNNNNNNNNNNNNNNNNNNNNNNNNNNNNNNNNNNNNNNNNNNNNNNNNNNNNNNNNNNNNNNNNNNNNNNNNNNNNNNNNNNNNNNNNNNNNNNNNNNNNNNNNNNNNNNNNNNNNNNNNNNNNNNNNNNNNNNNNNNNNNNNNNNNNNNNNNNNNNNNNNNNNNNNNNNNNNNNNNNNNNNNNNNNNNNNNNNNNNNNNNNNNNNNNNNNNNNNNNNNNNNNNNNNNNNNNNNNNNNNNNNNNNNNNNNNNNNNNNNNNNNNNNNNNNNNNNNNNNNNNNNNNNNNNNNNNNNNNNNNNNNNNNNNNNNNNNNNNNNNNNNNNNNNNNNNNNNNNNNNNNNNNNNNNNNNNNNNNNNNNNNNNNNNNNNNNNNNNNNNNNNNNNNNNNNNNNNNNNNNNNNNNNNNNNNNNNNNNNNNNNNNNNNNNNNNNNNNNNNNNNNNNNNNNNNNNNNNNNNNNNNNNNNNNNNNNNNNNNNNNNNNNNNNNNNNNNNNNNNNNNNNNNNNNNNNNNNNNNNNNNNNNNNNNNNNNNNNNNNNNNNNNNNNNNNNNNNNNNNNNNNNNNNNNNNNNNNNNNNNNNNNNNNNNNNNNNNNNNNNNNNNNNNNNNNNNNNNNNNNNNNNNNNNNNNNNNNNNNNNNNNNNNNNNNNNNNNNNNNNNNNNNNNNNNNNNNNNNNNNNNNNNNNNNNNNNNNNNNNNNNNNNNNNNNNNNNNNNNNNNNNNNNNNNNNNNNNNNNNNNNNNNNNNNNNNNNNNNNNNNNNNNNNNNNNNNNNNNNNNNNNNNNNAAUGUAGGUUCAGGUGCUCAGUUUCAGGUUCGACAGUGAUUCUUCGAGCAUGCUGUUCUACAUCCUCUGUUGUGGUGAGUCCUCAUAUUCCGAGGACGUGAUGUCUAAUGUUGGUUUCACGGAAUUAUUUACAUUUGAUAACUGAGUAUGAGUCAGUUGGGGCAUGUCUCAAUGACUUGUUGGUUUUAUUGAUUUUCUUAGAGGCUUGUCAGACCAGUAUAGAUGUUGGGAGUUGACUAAUAAGUCGUAUUUUGUUACCUUUUUAAAAUUCUUUUAUUCUUGGAUGAUGAUUACUCUGUUGAUAUUUGAGGGUUAUUUAUGGAAACCCCGUUGAUUUGUGUUGAACUGAAUGAAAAUGGCUCAAAGGGUUAGCUUGGGGCUACUCGUAGCCUCAAGCACCUUGUGACGCUCUAGGACCCAUUUUUUCAGAGCGUUACACUAAUUGUGAUGGUGAAUACCUCUCCAAUGUGUUCAUUAAUUACUUAUCAGAACAAGGAAUUACAAUUCAAAUAUCUGCACCUAGAACCCCAUAAAAGAAUGGUGUAGCAUAAAGAAGAAAUAUGACUCUUUUAGAAAUGGUUGGAUCUAUGAUAAGUUAUUGUGAUUUGCCUUCUUUAUUUUGGGGUUAUGGACUAGAAACUGCAAAUUAUUUUCUAAACUUAGCUCCUUCCAAUUCGGUACAUGUGACAUCCAUAGAAUUGUGGACUAGGCAUAAACCUAGUCUGAAACAUAUUUAGAUUUGGGGAUGUCCAGCACACGUGCUGAGAGAAAAUAUAGAAAAGUUGGAACCAAGAUCAGAAGUAUGUGUUUUUAUUAGUUACUCUAAAGGAAAGAAAGGUGGUCUGUUCUAAAAUCCUACAGAAAAAGAAUAUCGUUGUAAGUACCAAUGCCAAGUUUCAAAAAAUGAAUUUAAUAACAAACCACAUUCCUAAAAGUAAACUAGUUUUAUGGGAAUCAAGCAAAGAGGUAAUGAAUCAACCAACUAACGAUAAUGAAAAUCAAAUCCCAGCUCUAGAUGUCAGAGUUAAUAUGCCAUUGCAUUUUAGUAGUGGGAGAGAUGUUAAUAGACAUACAAUUCCACACGUACAAGUUCCUAAAAGUACAUUGCAUCAAAGUUCUGAGGGUGCACAAGAGGAAGAAGUCAUUGAUGUACCAACACCACAAGGUAAUUAGGAUAACAUAGAGAAUUAAAAUCCAUCAAAUGAUGUGGUUCAACCAUAAGAUCAUAAUAGUGCAGUUGCUUCUGUACCGAUCCUUACAACUAUAGUUCCUCAUCGUAGUGGGAGAUAGGAAAACCAUCUUGGUAUGUACUCUUGGGAGAGUUUAUUGAUAGAAUCCCUGAUGAGUUGUAUACCGAGCCCAUAAAUUACGAUGAAGCACUAGAGGAUAAAGAUGUAAACAAAUAAAUUAUUGCUAUAAAAUUAGCAAUGGAGUCCAUAUACUCUAAUCAAGUAUGGUAUCUUGUAAAACUACCUAUAGAUGGAGUCAAAACCAUUUGAUGCAAGUGGAUCUAUAAGAAAAUAAGAGUAGACGGAGAGUACAAGCUUCAAAUCUAGGCUUGUUGCAAAAGGAUUUACUCAGAAAAAAGGGAUCGAUUAUGAGGGAAUAUUUUCACUAAUAUCCAUGCUUAAGUCUAUUAGGAUUCUCUUAUCCAUUGCUGCAUAUUAUGACUAUGAUAUUUGGCAAAUGGAUGUCAAGACAUUUUUCCUUAAUAAAAGUCUUGAUGAGAGCAUUCUUAUACGACAGCUAGAUGGUUUCAUUGGAAAACGGAAAAACAUAUGUUGUGCAAGAUUAAGAGAUCCACUUAUGGAUUAAAGUAAGAUUCUAAGUCAUGGAACACUUGUUUUGACAAUGUGGUUAAUACUUUUGGCUUGGAGCAGUGUCUUGAUAAGUCUUGUGUGUACAAAAAGUGAAUAAAAAUAGAGUGAUGUUUCUAGUAUUGUAUGUAUAUGAUAUCUUGCUCAUAGAAAAUAAUGUUGUCUUGUUGAAUUCAGUUAAGAAAUGGUUAUCCAAUAACUUAGAUAUGAAAGAUUUGGGAGAAAUUGCUCACAUCCUUGGGAUCAAGGUUCUACGUGAUUGCCAGAAAAGGAUAUCAAGCUUAUCUCAAGCUUUUUGUAUUGAUACAAUUCUUAUCAGGUUCAACAUGCAUGCUUCCAAGAAAAGAUUUCUUCUUUUUAGACAUGUAAUUUUUCUUUCUAAGGACCAAUGUCCUAAGACAGAUGAGGAGAUAGAAAACAUAAAGGCAACUCCAUAUACAUCAUGUAUGCGGUGUUGUACACUAGAUAGAAAACAUAAAGGCAACUCCAUAUACAUCAUGUAUGCGGUGUUGUACACUAGACUUGAUAUCUGUUUUGUAGUAGGCAUGGUUAGCAGAUUUUAGUCUAAUCCAGUAAGAGAAAACUGGACAAUAGUUAAGCAUAUAAUCAAGUACCUGAAAAGGACAAGGUGACACGAACCGAAUCAGGGCCUAGUCGUGUUGGGUGCCUCAAGUCCAAUCAAGACCGGAGACCACCCUCAAUACCUAAUCAUAACUAUCUUUUACCCUAUGUCGGAUGAAUUUUGAACAUAUAACAAGAUAAAAUAAUAAUAAUAAUUUAAAUAUAUUAAUUAAAGUCUAUAACCAUAAUCCAACAACCUCAAUCAAAUAUUCAACUGGUGCCAACCCCAAUGCCAAUAUCAAUACAAGGACUGACACUAAUACCGACACCACCCAUGCCCAUAGUAGUUCUACAAAGCCUCUAUCUGAAAUAAAAAAACAUUUGAUUGGUACAUACCUCUGACCAUAGCCGAAACUAAAGUCUAAGAAAUGAAUAUUAAUGAAAGAAGUUCAUAUCAUGAAAUGGAGUCUUUCGGAGUAUGGAAGCUCACCACUCCAGUCAGACACAAAGUUGUUUCCGAAUCCAAGUCACUGAGCAGGAGGAGUAGUAUAGCCGGUUCUUGCAUCGCGUGGGGAUACAACGUCUGAAGACGGUUAGUGGAACAGACGCUAGCAUGUACUCAGGAAUAAGGAUAAAAUAAUGCCAUUAUUCAAAACCAAAGUAAUUAACCAUAUGCAAUCACAUAAGUACAUAUGUAUAUAUACCAUGUCGGGAAAAGAAAUCGGGUUUAUCAUGCAUUUAAAUUUUUUAAUCUGGGUUGUGUAGCUUUGUCAUCCUAAGUCCAUCCAUGGGCUAUAUAGGUUUAGCUCCCCGUGCUGAAAGGGCCUCGAUGCGUGUUAGCCCCAUGAACCAAAGAAAAACCUGAGAGGACUAGUACAUCUCUAAAAAAAUAUAAGUGUGACGUCAUGCACACGAUCACCAAGAUCACACCUCACAUUGGAAAACAUGAGUUUCUAGUUUUGGUCCCCCCGGUACCUCCACCUUCCACGGCUUUGCCAACAUGAGCCUCUUUAAGCCCAUGUUAAAACCACUCACACAUAACCAACCAUUUACCAAAGUGUUUUUUUAAUUAGGCAUUAACCUUUGGUAUAGUCAUACCAUAAUUAGAGCUUGCAAGUCUAUCCAUUUAUUGCCAUACCAAAUUCAUUAAACCAAUUUGACUCCAAAGUUUCAAUUGAACUAAUACCAUGGCUAGCAAGUCCUUUCCAAUCCAUUUAAAACCAACCAAACCAAUUUAAGUUCCAUUACUAUAUUAUGGAAUGGAAAAGUUUCAAGAAUAGUCAAACUAUGUGACAAAAUGUGGAAUCGCUUGUCUUGAAACUUCAUUUAGAAAUGUGGUUAGCUUAGGAAUUUAAUUCCCUUGAGGUCUACAUAAUAUUUAGGUGCUUUGUUUGGUAUACUGAUUGAGGGUUUAGGGUUUGAUAUACUCUUUAUUUGCUUUCAAUUCCUUUUACUGUGUCUAUCUUAUUACCUUUCCAUUCUAUCCUUUUUUUUUGAAUUCUUAUCUUAGUUGUAGUUUGUUCGUAUAUCAUUUGGUAUCAUAGUCAAGCUUGAUUUCGUUUCUAUGAAAUCAAUCUUGGGUCUAGUCAUCUUAGAAAAUCGAAAAUCACAAAAAAUUUUACUAUUUACGUUUUAGGUCUUAGAUCAUAUUUUGAGUUUUUAAUUUUUGUGUUUUAUUGUGUUUUUAGUGUUAUAUUUGCGUUCCCUAACACUGUAUGAGUCUAUAAACCAAAUUUGAGUCAAAUCAGACCUUAUUUGAGAGUUAUAUCCUUGUUGGAAGCUUGAGUUGAAGAAGUUUGAAGUGAAUUAAAAAUCUGAAGAUUUUGGUGAAGAAUUUGGAGAUAUUGAUGUUUGGAAUGAGUUUAGAAGGCUAAUAAGUACCUACAUUCAAAAUUUCAACUUAUUUCAAGCUCUGGAGAAAAAGUUACAAAGAUUGAUGUUCUUAGUGUUCUUGAGGAGAUUGUUAUAUUCAUAUUAAAAAUUUAUCCAAAAAAAGGUGUUUGAUCAAAAAAGAAGGAAGAAAAAGAGUGAAAGGGUGAUUAUGUUUAAGCAAUGAUUUCAAGAAUAUUCCAAGAGAAGAUUACACAAAGGACAUCAAGAAGGGCAUUUUCGGCCUUGGAACAAGCAAAGGGCGGCCAACUUGCCCUUGACCUGUGCCCAAGGUGUGCUGCAGAUGCCCCCAAUCUACUGCAGCACCUCAAGGCAGUGUCUAUGGAAUCUCCUGAAUCCAACCUACAUUAGAGGUGCGCUGGAACUGCUGCCAUAGGUCAAAACAGUGAGCAACCUUCCCCACCUGCGCUGGAAGUGCUCUAGAGGUGCACCUAAGGUGUGUGACGCCUCCCAAACGCAUGUCAAGCCUUCCCAAUGUCCAAUUCAGGUUCCAAAUGCAUUCUAACAUUGCUAAACUCCAAUUUACUCUAGUUUUAUUCCUUAGUUUCAUUCCUUGAUUCUUAAAUUCAACUCUUGAUUCUUUAAAUUAUCAACAACUAGUAGUUCACCUACUAAGUUGGAUGAUUAGUUCUUGAGUCCGAAUUCAUUCAUCGUCCCAUUUCUUUCAAUCUUUUCUCUUUUUAAUAUUGGUGUUAAUUCUUGAUCCAAUUCCUUACAUCUUUAUAUGAGUCCAUCAAACAAGAAUCCAAUCCGAUCAAGAGUAGAACUUGACACCUCGAUUACCAUAUGAAGUAUAAACCAUCUUUCAACAUUUGUGAUCCAAGUGUGAGGUAAACAAAGGUGUGAAGAUUUUGUAAGGUUAAUUUCCUUAACGCUAAUGUGUUUUUGUUUUUAUUAGCGUCUUUCUUCAUAGGUACAAUGGCUACGAAAGGCAAAACUUCGCAAACCAUGGAUAACCACUCAACAAAUGCUAUCUUAGUGGCUAUUGAAACUCUCAAUUGUAAAAUUGAUUCUAUGGACGCUAAGAUAAAUUCACUUGAAGGGAGUGUAUUCCUUAUUGGUGGAAGAGUGGAUAUCGUGGAAAGUUAACAAAACACAUACCUAUCCACACCUCAACACUUCUAUGCUUCAACUAGUGGGCAUGCUCCAAAUCCUUCGGUUCAUAUUUCCUUGAAAAACUUUCACCAAAUGAUUAAUCCACCAAUACAAGCAAAUGAUUUCGUUCCUCAAACCACUACAUAUCCAUAAAACCAAAAUCCCAUUCGAUCACUCCAACCUCAAUCCAACCAAACAUAAUAUGAUGAAUCUCGAACUUGAAUACCCCAACCUCCACUUUACAAAAUUUCCCCAUUCCAUGUACCCCUUAACCAAAACCAACCCAUCCAAAUAGACGAGGAAGAAAGGAAAGAACAACAAGCAGAGUUUGGAGUAUUCGAUGAAGCCAACAUAUUGGUAGAGUAAAUGAGAGGUAGACCAAUGGAUCAAUAAGGUUAUUGAGGUCGAGGAGGAAGAUUUUGUCCAGCGCCUAAUGGUAGAGGAAACUUAGGAAACCAGACUCAAGGUUAUGAUCAAUGGAACCAAUAAGGUAACCGGGAUCGAGAUAUAGGUAUCAAUUCAAUCAAGGUUAGUCUUCCAACUUUCAAAGGCGAAAGUGAUACAAAGAUUAUCUCUUAUGAGAGUCCUUUUAUGAAAAGAUCUUCCAAGUUAAUGAUAUCAUCAAAGAGAAGCAGAGUUGCUAUGCCAUAGCCCAUUUUGAUGGGUAUGCCAAUACAUGGUGGGAUUAUGCCAAGAGAUUUGGAAAUAUGUUAAAUAAAGGACAACUCCCUCCAUGGGAUGUGUUGAAGGUAUUCAUGAGACAAAGGUAUGUUCUGAAGAGGUAUAAACAUGAGCUACUGGACAAGUUGUACAACUUGAGGCAAGGUAGCAAGAGUGUUACGGCCUAUUAUGAUGAAUUCCAACAAUUGAUCUUGAAGCUUGACCAUUGAGAGAACGUGAACCUUGACAUCAUGCACUUCAAGGUGGAUUGAACAAAGAUACCUCCUCAUGCAUGACUAUUCACAAAUUUAAGACCAUAGAAGAAAUCUUCCAAGCGGCCUUGGAGAUUGAGAGUGAUAUCAUAGAAAAGGCAACUUACAAACCAAAAAGGGUACUUAUCUACCAACACUUGUAGUAAAAGUAAAGAGGUAGCACAAUUAUUAUCAGGAUGGAACAAGAACAAGGAAUACAAGUCUAAUAACAAGAAGCCCCUAGAGAAAACUAUUCCAAAGUACACGCUAAGGAAUAAAGGUAAUAAAUGUCCUAAUCUCAAUCCUAAAUAAAGUUUUUCAAUAUUUUAAAUGUCAAGGGUGGUGACAUAAGGCAAGUGAAUGUCCCAACCCGAGAAAUGUGAUCCUUAUGGAAGAGAAAUUGUAUUACCUUGGAGAAGAGGUGGUAUUGGAAGAUGAGAAUGAUGAAAAAGCCAAAGAUGGAGAGGGGUCCCAAGAAGAUGAGCAAAUAGAUAAGGAUAAUAAAGACGCUUGUCCUCAAUAUAAAGGGUAUGAGGUUCCAAAUUUUGUUGUGAGGCAUGCAAUGAUUAGUAAGGCGAUAGAUGACCCUAGUCAAAGGGAGAAUCAAUUCCAUACUAAAUGUCUUAUAAUGAAAAACGUGUUUUUUUAUCAUUGAUAGCGGAAGUUAUGCUAAUAUGGAUAGUGCUACUUUGGUUGAUUUCUUAAAGUUUCCCACAACCAAACAUGCCACACCAUACAAACUUCAAUGGUUAAAUAAUUAUGGUGAGUUGAAGGUGACUAGGCAAGUGGUGAUUCAGUUCAAAGUCGGGAAUUAUCAUGAUAAGGUGCAUUGUGAUGUGAGAUCCAUGUUAGCUUGUCAUCUCUUUCUUGGGAGACCAUGGAAAUAUGAUCAUUCAAGCAAAUAUGAUGGGAUGACCAAUUGGUACUUUUUUGAGUUGAAAGGUCAGAAAUUCUGUCUCCAUCCAUUUUUGCUAUCUCAAGUAAAUGUGGGUCACCAAAAAUUGAGAGAAUUGAAAGAUAAGACUAAGAAAAAAGGUGAGAAGAAGGACCAAAUAGAGGAGAAAGAUGAAGAAGAAGAGAAGAGGAGCUUGAAAGGGAAGAGUCCCUUAGUGAUGUUGUCUAGGAACAAAGAUCUUUUCAAAGAGCAUGAUGACAAAGCACCCAUGCUCCUCCAAGCCUAUGCUUUUCAUGCUAACCACUCUACUUCUUCUGUCCCCAUUAUAUUUCACUUGUUUUGCAGGAUUAUAAAGAUGAGUUACCAAAGGAACUUCCCCAAGGAUUACCCUUACUUUGGGGAAUUGAGUAUCAAGUUGAUUUUCUAUUGGGUUCUCAAUUACCCAACAAACUGGCCUACCGAAGUAAUCCAAAGGACAUAAAAGAGCUCCAAAGGCAAGUUGAGGAACUCCUCAACCAAGGAUACAUCAAAAAGAGCAUAAUUUCAUGUAUGAUUCUGGUGUUUCUAGUGCCAAAGAAAUAUGGAACAUGGCGCAUGUACGUUGAUUACCGAGCUAUUAAUAAGCUAAGGGUAAAGUAUUGCACCCAAUUCCCCAUUUGGAUGAGAUGCUUGAUGAGUUGAAAGGUUCUUGUAUAUUUUCUAAGAUAGAUCUUAGGAGCGGGUACCACCAAAUCUAGAUGCAAUCGGGUGAUGAGUGGAAGACCGUAUUCAAGACCAAGUUUGGUCUAUAUGAAUGGUUGGUCAUGCCUUUUGGCCUCACCAAUACUCCUAGUAGCUUUAUGUGGUUGAUGGACCAUGUUAUGGAACCAUUCAUAGGGAAGUUUGUUAUGGUAUACUUCGAUGAUGUUCUAGUUAAUAGUAAAUCCCUUGAAGAACAUGUCUUACAUUUGCAAAAGGUUUUUGAAGUGCUUAGAAAAGAGAAGUUGUAUGCUAAUCUUAAAAAAUGUUCUUUUAGUGUAAAUGAAGUUGCUUUCUUAGGAUUUGUUAUGAGCUCAAUAGGAGUCGAGGUGGAUGAAUCUAAGAUAGACGCCAUUAAGAAUUAGCCAAUUCCAAAAUCCAUUGGUGAAGUAAGAAGCUUCCAUGGGUUGACUAGUUUUUAUAGGCAAUUUUUCAAAGGAUUUAGUACCAUUGCCGCUCCCUUGACCGAGGUGAUCCAUAAGGAUAAAAGUUUUAAGUGGGGUGAUGAGCAAUCCAAUAUAUUUGAAGUUUUGAAGGCUAUGCUUAGCUCUACCCCCUUAUAGAAAUUACCCAAUUUUGACAAGAUGUUUGAAAUUGAAUGUGAUGCAAGUAACAUAGGAAUAGGUGCCGUCUUAAUGCAAGAUCAUAAACCUAUUGCAUAUUUUAGCAAAAAGCUCAGGCACAACUCUAAUUAUUACACCUAUGAUCUAGAGUUAUAUGCCAUAAUUAGAGCCUUAGGUAAUUGGAAACAUUAUUUGUGGCCCAAGGAGUUUGUGAUUCGAACCGAUCAUGAGUCCUUGAAACAUCUCCGGGCCCAAGAUAAACUCAAUAAAAGACAUGCCAAGUGGAUUGCUUUCCUAAAGACUAUCCCUUAUGUAAUUCAAUACAAAAAGGGAAAGGAAAAUAUGGUAGCCGAUGCAUUGUCUAAUAAGCAUGUGCUUAUCUCUAAUUAUUUUCUAAAUUGAUGGGAUUUGAGAGUCUAAAGAAAAGGUACCCCGAGGACCACAAAUUUUCUUAAAUCUAUCAAGAUUGUGAGACAUGGGGUAUGGAAAAAUGGGAGAGGGAUAGUGUUUCUAUGCCCUACUCCAUGUUUGAUGGUUUCUUGUUCAAAGGAAAAAGGUUGUGUUUGCCCUCUAGCUCAUGAAGAGAAUUGUUUGUAAGAGAGGAACAUAAUGGGGGUAUGAUGGGUUACUUUGGAAUUAACAAGACCCUUGGAAUCCUAGAGGAGUAAUUCUACUGGCCCAAGAUACGUCAAAAUGUUACUAAAAUUUAUAGCCAAUGCAUGGAUUGUAGAAGUGAGAAGCCCGCCUUCUUCCUCAAGGAUUAUAAACCCCACUACCUGCUCCUCAAUGCCUAGUGCUUGAUAUCUCUAUGGAUUUUGUUUUAGGAUUGUCAAGAACAAGGAGGGGUUAGAGAUUGCAUUUUUGUUAUGGUUGAUAGGUUACCAAAAAUAGCCCAUUUCAUUCCAUGUCAUAAAAUUGAAGAUACUUCUAAUGUGUCUUAUUUGUUUAUUGAGCAUGUUGUCAAAGUACAUGGAAUUCCUCGGACCAUUGUUAGUGAUAGGGACUAAGUUCCUUAGUCACUUUUGGAGGUCAUUGUGGGGUAGGCUUGGCACCAAAUUGCUUUCCUCAACAUCUUGCCACCCAUAAAUGGAUGGGAAAAUAGAGGUGGUAAAUAGAAACUUGGGUAUAGAUAAAGGAAAAAUGUCCUCUUAGGAGGACCACCUACAUCUAGUCGAAUUUUCUUAUAAUUGUGUUAUCCAUUCCACUAUUGGUAUGACUCCAUUUGAAUGUGUUUAUGGUUUUAACCCGCUUACCCCUUUAGAUCUCACUCUAUUGCCUAGUGAUGUUGUGAUAAUCUUAGAUAGAGACAAGAGGGCAUAAACCAUGAAGAAGUUGCAUGACAAGGUAAGAAUUUUCCUUGAAAAGAAGAAUAAAGAGGUGGCCAAAAGAGUAAACAAGAAAAGGAAACAACUUGUGCUUGAAUCGAGUGAUUGGCUUUGGAUACACCUCCGAAAGGAUAGGUUUCCAACCAAAAGAAAAGCCAAAUUGAUGCCAUAAGGUGAUGGUCCAUUUCAAGUGCUUGAAAGGAUAAACAACAAUGCCUAUAAGAUUAACCUUCCUCCGGAUUAUCAAUUACACAAUACCUUUAAUGUGUGUGAUUUUUCACUCUUUGACAUGAUAGAAGAUGAUCACCCUAUGAAUUUGAGGUCAAAUUCUUCUCAAGAUAGAGACGAUGAUACAAUCUGGAUUAGCUCCAAACCAUUUACUAGAAGUCAAGCCCGAGAGCUUCAAAUGAUCAAAGGAUUGUUCAUGAAGAGGGAAGUACUUGAAAAAGCCUCCGUACCAUCAAGAGGGUGUCAUUUCUUAAUGAUCGCACUCACAUUGGUCCAAGGAUUAUUGGAGAAGGAAAGGGUAGAAAAAUUGGACUAUAAAGACCCUUGGAAAGGACUUAUGCCUAAGGCGCUUUGGUUUUACUUUUGAUCUGCUCUAACAUUUCAAGAGCGGAUCAAAACAGUCCCUAGUGGGUCUUUUCUUGCAACUGAGUGACUUUUGGGCCCUAAAAUUAUAAUAAUUAUUCGAAACUAUAAAUACUUUGGAGGCAAGCUUAUUCUCUUUGUUUUGCUUGAUUAUUAAUGAAUUAUGAAUGUAUACUCUAUUGAGAGUAUGAGGCAAGCACGGAAUCACUUCUGUUGAAACUUUAUUUAGAAACGUGGGUUGCUUGAGAAUCCAAUUCCCUAGACGUCUACGUAAAAUUUAGGUGCUUUGUUUGGUAUAUUGAUUGAGGGUUUAGUGUUUGAUAUACCCUUUAUUUGCUUUUAAUUCCUUUCAUUGUGUCUAUCUUAUUACCUUUCCGUUCUAUCUUUAUCUUUCGUAUUUAUAUUGAAGUGCUUAGAAAAGAGAAGUUGUAUGCUAAUCUUAAAAAAUGUUCUUUUAGUGUAAAUGAAGUUGCUUUCUUAGGAUUUGUUAUGAGCUCAAUAGGAGUCGAGGUGGAUGAAUCUAAGAUAGACGCCAUUAAGAAUUAGCCAAUUCCAAAAUCCAUUGGUGAAGUAAGAAGCUUCCAUGGGUUGACUAGUUUUUAUAGGCAAUUUUUCAAAGGAUUUAGUACCAUUGCCGCUCCCUUGACCGAGGUGAUCCAUAAGGAUAAAAGUUUUAAGUGGGGUGAUGAGCAAUCCAAUAUAUUUGAAGUUUUGAAGGCUAUGCUUAGCUCUACCCCCUUAUAGAAAUUACCCAAUUUUGACAAGAUGUUUGAAAUUGAAUGUGAUGCAAGUAACAUAGGAAUAGGUGCCGUCUUAAUGCAAGAUCAUAAACCUAUUGCAUAUUUUAGCAAAAAGCUCAGGCACAACUCUAAUUAUUACACCUAUGAUCUAGAGUUAUAUGCCAUAAUUAGAGCCUUAGGUAAUUGGAAACAUUAUUUGUGGCCCAAGGAGUUUGUGAUUCGAACCGAUCAUGAGUCCUUGAAACAUCUCCGGGCCCAAGAUAAACUCAAUAAAAGACAUGCCAAGUGGAUUGCUUUCCUAAAGACUAUCCCUUAUGUAAUUCAAUACAAAAAGGGAAAGGAAAAUAUGGUAGCCGAUGCAUUGUCUAAUAAGCAUGUGCUUAUCUCUAAUUAUUUUCUAAAUUGAUGGGAUUUGAGAGUCUAAAGAAAAGGUACCCCGAGGACCACAAAUUUUCUUAAAUCUAUCAAGAUUGUGAGACAUGGGGUAUGGAAAAAUGGGAGAGGGAUAGUGUUUCUAUGCCCUACUCCAUGUUUGAUGGUUUCUUGUUCAAAGGAAAAAGGUUGUGUUUGCCCUCUAGCUCAUGAAGAGAAUUGUUUGUAAGAGAGGAACAUAAUGGGGGUAUGAUGGGUUACUUUGGAAUUAACAAGACCCUUGGAAUCCUAGAGGAGUAAUUCUACUGGCCCAAGAUACGUCAAAAUGUUACUAAAAUUUAUAGCCAAUGCAUGGAUUGUAGAAGUGAGAAGCCCGCCUUCUUCCUCAAGGAUUAUAAACCCCACUACCUGCUCCUCAAUGCCCAUGGCUUGAUAUCUCUAUGGAUUUUGUUUUAGGAUUGUCAAGAACAAGGAGGGGUUAGAGAUUGCAUUUUUGUUAUGGUUGAUAGGUUACCAAAAAUAGCCCAUUUCAUUCCAUGUCAUAAAAUUGAAGAUACUUCUAAUGUGUCUUAUUUGUUUAUUGAGCAUGUUGUCAAAGUACAUGGAAUUCCUCGGACCAUUGUUAGUGAUAGGGACUAAGUUCCUUAGUCACUUUUGGAGGUCAUUGUGGGGUAGGCUUGGCACCAAAUUGCUUUCCUCAACAUCUUGCCACCCAUAAAUGGAUGGGAAAAUAGAGGUGGUAAAUAGAAACUUGGGUAUAGAUAAAGGAAAAAUGUCCUCUUAGGAGGACCACCUACAUCUAGUCGAAUUUUCUUAUAAUUGUGUUAUCCAUUCCACUAUUGGUAUGACUCCAUUUGAAUGUGUUUAUGGUUUUAACCCGCUUACCCCUUUAGAUCUCACUCUAUUGCCUAGUGAUGUUGUGAUAAUCUUAGAUAGAGACAAGAGGGCAUAAACCAUGAAGAAGUUGCAUGACAAGGUAAGAAUUUUCCUUGAAAAGAAGAAUAAAGAGGUGGCCAAAAGAGUAAACAAGAAAAGGAAACAACUUGUGCUUGAAUCGAGUGAUUGGCUUUGGAUACACCUCCGAAAGGAUAGGUUUCCAACCAAAAGAAAAGCCAAAUUGAUGCCAUAAGGUGAUGGUCCAUUUCAAGUGCUUGAAAGGAUAAACAACAAUGCCUAUAAGAUUAACCUUCCUCCGGAUUAUCAAUUACACAAUACCUUUAAUGUGUGUGAUUUUUCACUCUUUGACAUGAUAGAAGAUGAUCACCCUAUGAAUUUGAGGUCAAAUUCUUCUCAAGAUAGAGACGAUGAUACAAUCUGGAUUAGCUCCAAACCAUUUACUAGAAGUCAAGCCCGAGAGCUUCAAAUGAUCAAAGGAUUGUUCAUGAAGAGGGAAGUACUUGAAAAAGCCUCCGUACCAUCAAGAGGGUGUCAUUUCUUAAUGAUCGCACUCACAUUGGUCCAAGGAUUAUUGGAGAAGGAAAGGGUAGAAAAAUUGGACUAUAAAGACCCUUGGAAAGGACUUAUGCCUAAGGCGCUUUGGUUUUACUUUUGAUCUGCUCUAACAUUUCAAGAGCGGAUCAAAACAGUCCCUAGUGGGUCUUUUCUUGCAACUGAGUGACUUUUGGGCCCUAAAAUUAUAAUAAUUAUUCGAAACUAUAAAUACUUUGGAGGCAAGCUUAUUCUCUUUGUUUUGCUUGAUUAUUAAUGAAUUAUGAAUGUAUACUCUAUUGAGAGUAUGAGGCAAGCACGGAAUCACUUCUGUUGAAACUUUAUUUAGAAACGUGGGUUGCUUGAGAAUCCAAUUCCCUAGACGUCUACGUAAAAUUUAGGUGCUUUGUUUGGUAUAUUGAUUGAGGGUUUAGUGUUUGAUAUACCCUUUAUUUGCUUUUAAUUCCUUUCAUUGUGUCUAUCUUAUUACCUUUCCGUUCUAUCUUUAUCUUUCGUAUUUAUAUUUUAAUUGUAGUUUUGAUUCCAUAGUUUGUUCGUAUAUUAGAAGUGAUUCCUACGUACAUAUAGAUUACAUUAUUAAGUUGACUUGGGGGAAUCCUAUAUACCCCAUAAGUGAUCAUUAUUAUAUUUGCUUGAGGGAUUCCUUUGUACCCCACAAGGCUUUCAAUUAGACCAAUCAUUACCACCAAGACCUUACCAUUUAACCAUUCCAAACCAUUUAUACCAUUUAGGGCUCCAUUACCAAGUUAUACCAUGCAACAGUUACAUUAAAAGUCCAAUAAUAUUCUAAAAGCAUUCUCAUAGGCAUUUUAUCAAAUAGGUUGGGGGCAUAUGUUUCCAAAGCCAAAACCAUGUACCAAUUAACCAUUCCCAUGCAACCAAAUGUUCAAACCACCAUACUAAUAUGAAAAUCAUAAGUAAAAGACAUGGGAAAAUCAUAACCAACCAUUGUAACCAAAACCCCCAACAUAUAUUUGAAAACAUAAACCAUACGACAUUUAUGCCAUGAAAACAAUCCAUAAAACAUGCCUUUAGUUGGAACUAACAAUGAGGAAGGAGUACAUGCCUUAGAUUACGAAGAUCACGGAGAGAAAUCACCCCUGUACGCCCCAAAUUAAUCCUAUUGAUGAAACCCUAGCCUUCCUUGACCCAAGAUCCUUGAGAGAAUUUGAGAGUGUUUAAAAGAGUUUGAGUGAUUGCAAAUACUUUAAAUGAUGUCCCGAGAGGUUUAUAAGUCAUGGGGCCUUAAGAGGUUAAGAGGGGAACUGUUCAGAUUAACCCCAACUUAAACUGCUUAAAAUUCCUGCAGGAAGGUACGACCACCCUCCCCAAACCAUACCUUAGGGUACGAGUGGUACCCUAACUCGCACCUUAGGCCUCACCUUGGACCUCCAUACUGACCAACAUACGACCACACGUGAUCCAACUUGUAUCUUAACAUACAAGUAGUACCCCAAAAACCAUACCUUGGAUAGAAUGCACUAGACUAGACACAAGGCAUCAUAUGACCUAGCCACUACGACUCGUACCUUAACAAACGACUAGUAAAGAGUCCAUUCACACCUUAGACAGAAACCAAUCCAAACCAAACUGGUUACCAUACGACUAAGAACCUACCAAUUGUACCCCAUCAUACGACUAAUACCCCCUAGUCGUAUGAUGUCAACAACAACAACAACAAACCCAGUGUAUUCCCACAUAGUGAGGUCUAGGGAGGGUAAGCUGUACGCAGUCCAUACCUUUACCUCUAAAGAAGUAGAAAGGUUGUUUCCGAUAGACCCCCGGCUCGAGAUACCAAAUACUAAAAAAAUUCAUAGUAAAGCAUGGAACAAGAUGGCAUAACACAAAUACGACACCCACAAGUAAUAGAAAACAGAGAUAAGUAAACAGAUUCGUAAUAAAGCAUGAAACAAGGUAUCAUACCAAGAAUAAUACCCCCACCAAGUAAUUCCCUACACUAGCGACCCAAACUGACCCUAGCCUUCUGCCCUAAUUCACAUCCUCCAGAUCUUCCUAUCUAAGGUCAUGUCCUCAGUGAGCUAUAACUACUCCAUGUCCCGCUUAAUCACCUCUCCCCAGUACUUCUUCGGCUUACCCCUACCCUGCCUAAAACCAUCCAAAGCUAGCCUCUCACACCUACGAAUUAGGACAUCCAUGCCCCUCCUCAUCACGUGUCCGAACCAUCUCAAUCGAACUUUCCGCAGCUUAUUCUCCACUGACAUCACACCAACCUUCUCCCUGAUAGUCUCAUUCCGAACUCUAUCCCCCCUAGUCAGCCCACAUAUCCAAUGUAAUAUCUGUAUUUCUGCCACUUUCAUUUUUUAAAUGUGGGAGUUCUUAACUGGCUAACACUCCGCUCCAUACAACAUGGCCGGACGGACUGCCACCCUGUAGAAUUUGCCUUUAAGCUUGGGCGGCACCUUCUUAUCACACAACACUCCCGAAGAGAGCUUCCACUUCAUCCAUCCCGCCCCAAUACGGUGCGAGACAUCCUCAUCAAUCUCAUCGUUACCCUAAAUCACGGACUCGAGAUACUUGAAACUAUCCCUCUUACAUACCACCUGUGAUUCCAACUUCACUACCACCUCAUUCUCCAGCCUCACAUUAUUAAACUUGCAUUUUAAAUACUCUGUCUUGGUCUUACUCAACCUGAACCCUUUAAACUCAAGAGUUUGUCUCCACACCUCUAAUUUAUCAUUCACCCCCACGUCUCAUCAAUCAAAACUACAUCAUCUGCAAAAAGCAUACACCAAGGCACUUCUCCUCGAAUACGCCGCGUUAACACAUCCAUCACCAAAGCAAACAAAAAGGGACUAAGAGUAGAUCCCUGAUGCAAUACUAUCAAGACAGUGAAAUGCUCUGAGUCUCCUCCCACCGUCCUCACCUGAGUUUUAGCUCCAUCAUACAUGUCCUUAAUUGCUCUGAUAUAUGCCACCAGGACUCCACUCACCUCCAAGCAUCUCCAAAGCACCUCCCUGGGGACUUUGUCGUAUGCCUUCUCCAAGUAGAUAAACACCAUGUGCAGGUCCUUUUUAUUUUCCUAUACUGUUCCACCAGCCUCCGUACUAGGUGAAGGUAUCCGUUAUUGAGCGGCCAGGCAUAAAUCCAAACUGAUUCUCCGAAAUAGACACUAUCCGUCUCAGCCUCACAUCUCCCAAAUCUUCAUAGAGUGACUCAAUAACUUAAUACCCCUAUAGUUAUUAGAACUCUGAAUGUCACCCUUGUUCUUAUAAAGAGGGAUCAUAGUACUCUACCUCCAAGCCUCAGGCAUUUUCACCGUCUCAAAAAUUUUGUUAAAUAAUCCAGUCAACCACCUUAAACCAGCCUCGCCAGAAAACUUCCAAAAAUCCACCGGUAUCUCAUCAAGCCCCAUCGUCCUACCCUUUCGCAUCCUACAAAUAGCCUUUCUAACCUCUUUUACCUUAAAAUGUCUACAAUAACUAAAAUUUCGACACUCCUCUGAGUGCUCCAGCUCCCCUAACACAAUAGCUCUAUCCCCUUCGUCAUUCAAGAGCCUAUGAAAAUACGACUGCCAUCUAUUCUUAAUGUGGCCGUCCUCCACCAACACUUUACCAUCCUCCCCCUUAAUGCACUUUACCUGGUCGAGGUCACGACCUUUCCUCUCCCUAGCCUUAGCGAGUCUAAACAACUUUUUUUCCCCUCUUUUCUCCUAUAACCCCGCAUACAAGCCCUCAAAAGCUGCCGUCUUAGCCGCCAUAACUGCUAACUUAGCCUCCUUCCUAGCUAACUUGUACUCUUUCCUGUUUACCCGCUUCUCUUCUUCGUCCUUACUCUCAACCAACUUAGUAUACGCCCCUUUCUUGGUCUCCACUUUCUUUUUAACCUCUUCAUUCCACCACCAAUCCCUCCGAUGAUGCCCGACUCGGCCCCUAGAAACACCCAACACCUCACUAGCAUUCUCUCUGAUGCACCUAGUCACCCUAUCCCACAUACUAUCCACAUCCCCCUUCACUCCCACACCCCCAUUCCAGCCAACUUCUCCUUUAUCUCCCACGCAUUCACUGGCGUCAAGCCGUCCCACUUAAUUCUAGGUCUACACUCCUCACCCCUUCUCUUUCUAUCCUUCUUUAUAACUAAAUCCAUAACCAAGAGCCUAUGCUGGGUCGAAAGAUUCUUACUCGGGAUGACCUUACAGUCCUUACACAACACCCUAUCUCCUUUUCUAAGCAACAAAAAGUCAAUCUGGGUCUUGGCUAACGCUCUUCAGAAGGUGAUCAGGUGAUCUUCCUUCUUCGGGAAGCACGAGUUCACCACCACCAGCCCAAAGGACCUGUUAAAAUCCAAUAGAGUAGCCCCCUCUUCAUUUCUUUCCCCAAAACCAAAACCACUAUGUACAUUCCCAAAGCCUCCCGGUAACGCCCCGAGAUGCCCAUUGAAAUCUCCUGCUACAACAAUCUUCUCUGAGCUAGGCACACCUCUCAUCACCUCAUCCAAAGCCUCCCAAAACCGUAUUUUCUCCUCCCCAUCCAAGCCCACUUGUGUCAAAUAAGCACUACACACAUUCAGGGUAAACCCCCCAAUGACUAACUUCAUAGUCAUCAACUUAUCGCUGAUCCUCUUAACCUCUACUACCUAACCUCUAAGAUCUUCAUCUACUAAGAUGCCAACUCUAUUCCUACGCCUCUCGCUCCCAGAGUACCAAAGCUUGUAACCACCUACAUCCCUAACCUUAGACCCUACCCACUUGGUCUCUUGAACACACGCAAUAUUAAUCUUCCUCUUUUUAAGAAUCUUCACAAGCUCUAUGGACUUACCCUGAAAAGUCCCUAUAUUCCAAGACCCAACCUUCAGCCUACCAUCUUUAUCUACACGUCUUCCUCUACCGCCCCUAAGGCCAAACCUUGUCCUCCCUCCCACCCCCACCCUCACCCUCACAACAGCCCCCCGGCCUAACCCCCUCGGACAUGAACCUAUCCAACUAUCAAUGCCUACCGCCACUAUUAUAAGAAAAUAUAGGAAAAUAUAAACAAUGGUAGUAACAAAGCAGCAGCAGGAAAUACAAGGCUCACAAAAAUUAGAAGAAAUAAUCAAGAAACAAAACUAAACUCAAAUAGGGAGAAACAAAACAAAACCAAGGUAAGGACAAAACUAACAGUAAGAAAAAUAGAGCACACUGAUGGCCUGGCACUAAGGACAGGCAAACAAAUAAUAAGGGGUGGUGCAAGUCACGAAUAUACUACAGCAGACACACAAGUCAAGAUAUAGGAGAUAGUAUGAUAAAUAAUAUGAAGCAACAUAAGAGGUAACAGUAAUAAAUCAACAACAGGAAAAGAAAGGUACAAGUAAAGUAGAUGGAAUAAUUGCGGAAAAAGUCUACCCCACAAAUUAAUACUAAGUCAAGCGAUGUACUAAUUCAGAACACAACUCAACAACAAUCUCCAAACAAAGUAGCCGGACACUACUACCCACAAAAGCAACAGAAAGGGUGCAAAAAAGUGAAACAGAAGCCGUAACAAAAGACAGGGACACCACAACUAAAUAAUAUACAGGAAAUCAAAAACUGACUGAAGUGGCUAAAAGCCUAAAAGUGUAGAUGUCACCGGUACGCCUGCUAGAUGCUGGUUCCAUCAAUUUGAUGUCAAAAAUCAUUGCCGGAGUAAGGUCACUGGUAAAAGAACUGCUGGUACAUUUUCGGAGUGUCGCUGGAGAGUCGUCGAGUAACGUUGGAGAGCCUUCUGCAAUCUUGUCGGGAUCUGGACGUCUUCUGACUCAAACCACCUGUUUGACCUACCUAUUUUGCCGCAGGUGAAACCCCUCACUGUUGCCGGCAUCGAGUCAGCGGGAAUCGUAGUUCCACCGACGAUUGGAGCGACGAAACCAAAAAGGAAUUUAGGGGGGAAAGGGGGGGCGAGUACAAAGAAAAACUGGGGGUGAGGGAGAUCUGGGGUGGGAGAGAGGUUCAACCUUACCUUUCCCGGCUCAAUCGACGCCGUCGCCGGCAUCAGAAACAGCCGGUCAGUCGGGGUGGAGCGUGAAGGUAAGCGUUAAUGUUAAAGGUGAUCGUUGGAGAGAGAAAUUUUCAUACCUUCUAGUCGUAUCAUGUCUAGAAGCCAAAAACUCAGGAAAUUUUCUAUGGACCAAAACCCAGGAUGCUUUAUAAUCAUAAUUCAACAACCUAAAUCAAAUAUUCAAUCAGUUCCAACCCUAAUGCCAAUACCAAUACCAAGGCUGACACCAAUAUCACCACUGCCUAUGCCCAUAGUAGUCUCGUAAAGCCUCUAUCUGACAUCAAAGAGCAUCCGAUCGGGACAUGCCCCUGACCAUAGCCAAAACCAAAGUCCAAGAAAUAAAGAUAAAUAAAAGAAUUCCAUAGCAUGAAAUGGAGUCUUUCGGAGUAUGGAAUCUUACCACUUCAAUCUGACACAAAGCUGUCCCCAAAUCCAAGUCACUGAGUAGAAUGAGUAGUAUGGCCGAUUCCUGCAACGCAUGGAGAUACAACACCCAAAGAUGGUUAGCGGAAUGAGCACUAGCAUGUAUUCAGGAAUAAGAAUAAAAUAAUGCCAUUAUUCAAAACCAAAGUAAUUAACCAUAUGCAAUCACAUACUUACACAUAUAUAUAUGUAUAUAUAUACCAUGCCAGGAAAGGAAACUGGGUUUAACAUGCAUUUAAAACUUUUAACCCGGGUUGUGUAGCUUUUCCUUUCUAAGUCCACCCAUGGGCUAUAUGGGUUCAGCUCUCCCCGGCUGAAAGGGUCUCAUUGUAUGUUAGCCUCACAAACUGGAGAAAAACCUAAGAUGACUAGUACAUCUCAAACUAAGUAUAAGUGUGACAUCAUGCACAUGAUCACUAAAAUCAAACCUCACAUCGACAAACAUGAGUUUCCAGUUUUGGUCCCCCCGAGACUUCCACCUUCCACGACUUUGUUAACUCGACCCUCUUUAAGCCCAUGUUAAAAUAUUCACACAUAACCAUCCAUUUAACAAGGAGUCUUUUUAAUUAGUCAUUAACCAUUGGUAUUGUUAUACCAUAAUUAGAGCUUGCAACACUAUCCAUUUAUGCCAUAACAAAGCCAUUAAACUAAUCUAACUCGAUGAAUAAUGAGCACAAAGUGAUUUGAAUAUGAUUAAUCUUGUGUUUUGGAUGGAUUGAGUCCUUGAAAAUUGACCAAAAUGUCCUCUUUAAACUUACAGAAGAAACUGAAAAUGUAACAUUUUUUUUGAUUUGGGUGGCUACCGCGACGCGCCACUAUCGUGGUGGCUUACUGCAAAUUGGAUGAGUGAGAACUGGACAUUCUCUGUGACGUUCCACCAUCACGGUGCCCCUUUGAAAUGCCAUUUUGGCCACUGGCACGACGCGCCAAUAUCGCGUUGGGCUACUGAAAAUCGAUAAUUGGAAAAUUGGCCCUCUCCGAGAUGCGUCAAUAUCGCGUGGUCUACUGAAAUGGGACAAUUGGGAAUUUGGACUUCUCCGUGAUGCAAGGCUAUCUCGGAGGGCCACUAAAAUUUGACAAUCAUUAUUUUACCCUCCUCCGCAACGCGCUGAGUGCCCAGGUGGCACACUGUGAACUUAAAAAUGCUCUAACUCCUCAACCGAGUAUCGAAUUUGGGCGAAUUUGGUAUCGAUGGAAAGCUUAUUCAAUUUUCCAUACAAUGGAAAGUCUAAAUCUGGAAAAUUCUACAUGAAAUAAAUAUUCUUCAUUUCAAAAGCUAUUUCUUAACAUUCUAAGAACGAAUUUAAGUUAGGAAAAGUGUGGGGUAUUACACUUUGGCACAUAUACUGGUCAGGCUACAAUGUGGAUCCUUAUGACUAGUUAAGACUCUUUACAAGUAAUAAGGAGAGUCAUAGUUAGUAUAGUGAGGAUAAAAUUUCAAAAAUUUCACGGACCAAAAAUUUGGGGUGUUACGCAAUUACUAUCUUAGGGUGCUUUAUGGUCCCAAAAAUUAGUUUUUUCUUUCAUAUACACACCAUUAACCCAUCUCACCGAAAGAGAAUUUUUAUUCACCAGAAAUUGCUAUGCAAUCUUCCCUACAGAUGCAAUAUUCCAAAUUCUACCAUCUUUGAUAUUCAUGCCUCCUUGAUUUUAGGAACACAAACUUUCUCCCAAGCUACUAAACAUGUCUUCUUUUUCCCUUCAGUAUUCAAAUACAUACUUUAUAGAUUUUCUAUCAACUUUCUUUAGAAUACUUUGAGGAAGAAUAAAUGCAAAUCACCAAAAAUUAUGUAUUGAGAACAAAACUACAUUCAGUACUUGCAAUAUUCCUGCAUAUGAUAGUUUAUUGGCAUACUCUGUAGUUUUUAGAUUUCAAAGGCAAUCCCAAAUAUAUAAUUAGGAAUUCACCAAAUAUAAAUCUAGUUUUUGCCAACAAGUUAAGCUUUACCUGGUUUGUAACUCUAGUAAUAAACAUACCAGAUUUCUGUAGGUUUGUUUCCAAGCUUGUAGUUGCACUAAAGUGAUCUAAUGCCUUAUUCACUCUGGUGAAAACUAACUCUUCACCCUUAUAAAACUCCAUUAAAUCAUAAGUAAAUAUCGAAUAAUUUAGCUUAGUACUUUUGCACAUAAGAUGAAACUUAAAUUCAGGCAGUAGACUCAUGUAAUGAAAUGUUCUUGAUAAGUACUCCAUUACUAGGACAAGAAGAAGCAAAGUCCCCUGUCUUAGUCCUCUUUUUACCUAAAGAAAUCCAUGCCCCUCACCACUUAAUUUGAUAGAGUAAAUUGGAGUGGUAACACAUAUCAUUAACAACUUGAAAAAUCAUAACCCUAUAACAAUUUCUCUAGAAACUCUAACUCACCAUAUUAUAUGAUUUUCAAAAAUCAGUCGUUAUUGAACACCUAGGUUUUUUCUGUCUUUCAUAAUGCCUAAGUAGAUCAUGGCAUAAGCACAUUAUGCACCAUGGACCUCCUUGCACAAAUGUUACCUGAUUAUCUGCAACUAUAUGAACUACUACUUCUUUUAACCUUCUAUAGAUCAUUUUACAUAUGUAUUUUUAUAUGAUAUUGCAAUAAGAAAUGGGCCUCUAUUGGCUAUGUGAUAUGAACAUUCCACUCUAUGAAUAAGAGCAACAUUUGUUGCAUUCAAUUUUUUAAGAAGUUUUUCAUUCCUGAAGAAAUUUAGUACUAUUUUUUUUAUAUCUCCCCCUAUUAUGUCAUAUGUAGCUUUAAAAAAUACAUAUUCAUAUCCAUUAAGCCCUGCGCUCUUCAUACUAGCAAUGCCAAAAAGGUUUCCUUGACAUCCUUCUGUGUGAACUCUUUCGGUAAAUUCAUCUGGUGUAUAGUGUUAAGGAUAUUUUCCUACUGCAUAAUAUACAUAUUAGCCUGUAUUUUGCUUGUUUUCUUCUUUCAUAGUAAUCUCUGAUAGUAUUCCACAAAAGUUGCAGCAAUUCUGGCUAUAUCAUACUCUUUUUUCUCCUUGAUCAUUACUGAAUUGAGUAAUUUCUUAUGUUAACCUCUUGUGCUUAAUGACUACAUAAAAAUAUCCUCCCCAUGCUUGUCAUUUCAAGUAUACCUACAUCCACUUACACAUGGUGUUUAUUGAUCUAGAGAAGGCAUAUGAUAGAGUUACCAGGGAGAUUUUGUGGAGGUGCUUGGAGGCUAGAGGGGUGUACGUGGAAUAUAUUAUGUCAAUUCAAGAUAUGUAUGAUAGUGCAAAGACUCGUGUGAGGAAAGUAGGUGGAGAUUCGGAGCACUUCACAGUUUUGAUAGGGUUGCACCAGGGAUCAACUCUUAGCCCGUUUCUAUUUUCCUUGGUGAUGAAUGUUUUGACGCGACAUAUUCAAGGGGAGGUGCCUUGGUGUAUGUUAUUUGCAGAUGAUGUGGUUCUGAUUGACGAGACUCGGGGUUAAGUUAAUGAUAAGUUGGAGGUUUAGAGACAGACACUUGAAUCUAAAGGUUUUCGGUUAAGUAGAAUAAAGACAGAGUACUUGGAGUGUAAGUUCAGUAAUAUGUCAUAAGAAGAUAGAAUGGUUGUGAAGCUAGAAUCUCAGGCCAUCCAGAAGAGGGUGAGUUUCGAGUAUCUGGGGUCUAUAAUUUAGGGUAAUGGUGAGAUUGACGAGGAUGUCAUGCAUUGUAUUGGGGCAGGGUGGUUGAAGUGGAGGCUCGCUUCGGGAGUCCUUUGUGAUAAGAAGGUGCCCCCAAAGCUUAAAGAAAAGUUCUACAGAGUGGUAGUCCGGACGGCUAUGCUGUAUGGAGUGAAGUGUUGACCAGUUAAGAACUCCCACAUCCAAAAGGUGAAGGUGCCGGAGAUGCGAAUAUUGAGAUAGAUGUGUGGACAUCCCAGGAAAGAUAAGGUAAGGAAUGAGAUUAUUUGGGAGAAGGUAGGAGUUGCCUCAGUGGAGGAUAAGUUGCGAGAAGUGAGACUACAUUGGUUCGGGCAUAGGAUGAGGAGGGGCCCUAAUGCUUCAGUACGGAGGUGUGAGACUCUGGCUAUGGAUGGUUUUAGGCGAGCUAAAGGUAGACCGAAGAAAUAUUGGAGGGAGGUGAUUAGGCAUGAUAUGGAGCAAUUACAGCUUACAGAGGACAUGACCCUUGAUAAUAAGGUAUGGAGGACGCGGAUUAGGGUAGAGGGUUAGGGGGCGGGAGCGUGGCAGUAGUAAUAGGGGAGUGCUCCUUUAGGUCUAGAGUUUCUGGUUCGUAGUGUUGGGGCUGUAGUUUUUGGGGUUAGUGGUGUUGACUUUUUUGCAUCCUGUACUAGUUUGUGAUGCACUUAUCUUUUGUGUUUGUUAUACUGUUAGUUUGUUUUGUGUACCAUACUAGUUUUUAUCUGCUUACUUUUUGUAUUUGUUAUACGGUUAUUGGUCCUAAGCUGGGGGUCUACCAGAAACAGCCUCUCUACUUCUCUUGAGGUAGUGAGAUGAUCUGUGUACACUCUACCCUCCUCAGACCCACUAGGUGGGAAUACAUUGGGUAUGUUGUUGUUGUUGUAAUUAGAAAAAUCACUUGUCUCAACCGAAGUAAUUGGAUUCCCUCCUAUUCUAUUUUCUAUUUUAACACUGGUUGAAAUCAGCUAAAAUAAAUCAAGGCAAGUGUAUUUUAUGACUCAGGAUCUUCAUUUCGUCCCAUAAGAUUUUUCUUUCCUCGUGACUCUAGCUCUUUAUUUCAUCCCAUAAGAUUUUUCUUUCCUCUCUUGUAUAACGUGCACACAUAUAUGGUCACAAAAUUUUUCUAUAAGGUUAUAUGUGUGACUGUACAUGUGAUCAUUUGAAUAACACCCCAAAUUAGUAACAUACGUCCAUACAUUAUGGAGUUUAUUAGACAUAUCCUCAAUCUUAUUACUUUUAAUCUUUGUCCUCUACAACCAUACCAGGCCGACUUUUUCCUCACCGUAAAGGAGUUUCAUCUUCUUUUGCUUAUUAUGGGUAUUGACACUUAAUUUUGACCCCCCAAUGCUCCCCCGACUGCUAUUUUACCAAAAUUAUUAAUUUUAAAUAUUAGUAUUUUUAUGUAUUACUUUGGUAGUAAAAUAUUGACAUAUCACACUCAUGAUUUUAAAGUAAGCAAUUUAAUUGUUAUCCUAUUUCAUCAAUUUAAAUAUAAUAUUUUUCGUAAAUAUUCAUGCUCAUAAUUACAAACACCUAGUUAUUAUUAUUAUUAUUAUUAUUAUUAUUAUUAUUAUUAUUAUUAUUAUUAUUAAUAAUAAUAAUAAUAAUAAUAAUAAUAAUUCUUAAAAUUAUACCUAGUUUAUUUUAAAUUUAUUAUCGAUAAUUUUAUAAUAUUUUUGCGUAGCAUUAAUUUUACGUGCUAGCUUAUUUUUAAUAGCGACAUCUUACAAUUUUCUUUCCAAGUCCUUAUUACAUCUAUUAAAUAGCAACCUAAUUCAAUUAAAUCAAUAUAAAUUCUAGCCAUAUUUGUACUCAACUUAUGCCAAUUUAAACAUAAAUUAAUUUCAAAUUUGACUCCAAAAUUGAAAUUCCCAAUUCAACUUUUUAACCUAAUUUUAACCCCAAUUUAAAGCCCAUAAUGUAAUUAUAAUGCCAGUCGUUGAUCAAACUUGAUCCAACCACUGAUAUUAUAACUUCACUUUCUCCCUUUUUUAACAAAACCAAGCCAAACCUUAAUCAUUUUGUAAUACAUCGCCACCACCACAACAGUACUAGCCGGCGCCGUUUCCUUCUUCUCCUUCACGAACCAAACUGCUAGAGCCCUCUAAUUGCAUCCAGACACCGAUGAAACAUCCACCCAAUGAUGCCCCACCCUCCGAACUGCCUCACCACCGGUAACCUACCAUCGAUGGAUGUCAUGACCUGUAUUAAUGAUCGCGUGAGAGACAUACAUUAGGGUCACGUGAGAGGCACGGACAGUCCACUUCAAUAUAAACACAAUGAACUAUUGUGAAGGAGGGAAUGAAUUAUUUUGGUAAAAUUCCAAUGAUCUUUUUCUCUCAUUCCCUCAUUACUCUCUCUUCUUCCUAACUACUUCUUUCUCCUCUCGACUAAUUCUAUCCUUAAUCGCCAUUGAAGGUGACUAUUGGAGCUUCCAUGGUGACUUAUCUCUCGUAGUAUCCAAUUCAAUUUAUCAAUUAUAAUAGCUAGUUUGUAUUGAAUUUGGAUUAGCAAUAAAAAUUUACCUUUCACGAUUUCAAUUUUCUUUCAUUAUCAAAGUACAUAACAAUUGGUAUCAGAGAACGAACCUGUCUCGAAUGUGGGUAGUAAUUCAAAGAAGAUUUUUGCGGAAUCAUAGACUUUGACUGAAUUGGUUGAACGAAACAAUGCCAAUAGAAGGGCCUUUGUGGAUGGAAUUUCUAGAAUAAUUAUGGAUUUAAAACAAUUUUAGAAGGGCCUUUGUGGAUGGAAUUUCUAGAAUAAUUGUGGAUUUAAAACAAUUUUAGAUUUGGGGUGAGGAUUGUAUAUGCAGUGUUGACUGCCAAUGCAACUCAUGCAUUUAUGGGUGUUUACGUAGUGUUGAUUACCAAUGAGGUUUUUGUCUUAAUGUCUAUUCGAGGGAAAUGAAUAAAGAGGACAACUAAUCUGAGGUGGAUUCUUGCAACCAGGCUAUUGUUGAACUGCUGAAAUUGGAAAAUAACAAUAAGGUCAAUUUAGAAUACAAAGCAGAUCAGGUGUUUGGCGAGUUUCCUCAAUGGGCAGAAGAUGAAAUUCUAGUUGAAUUUUACUCCAUCCACAAUACAAAUACCACAGAGAUCGAAGUCGUGGGCUUACGUUUGAAUUCUUGACUUUACGUUCUUGAUGUUGAGGAUACAAUAUCGAAAUUGAAGUGUCUCGACGAUUUGCCAUGCAAGGGACAUAAACUUUACAUAGAGUUUGGUGGCAAGCUAUUCAAUAUAAAGCUAGAAAGGCAUUGUUUAGCAGAAUAUUGUGGCCCGCUUACAACUAAUGGUUUUCUUCCACAUGCUUUGGGUUUAAACAGUUGUAAUUGGGUUGACACAGGGAAAGCUUUCUGGGCUUUCCUUGAUAGGGUAAAGUCAGGUAUGUAUUCAUUCAGUUGUAGUUUGCUUACCACAUUUCUUGGCACUACAAGACAUUAUUCAAUUAUUGCUAUGGAUGGUUUCAAGAAGAUCAUUCAUAUGCUAUCUUGUCAUAUUGAUUCCACGCCCAAUGAUCAAAGUAUUUUGAAUCAAUUUCCCUUUGACCCUGGAGCAAACUUGUUUAUAGUAAACCCUGUCGGGUAUCUCUAAAUUCUACAAUUACAACUUGGGUCAUAUAUACACACUGUAUUACCUGUGAAAAACAUAUUUCAGCGUUGGGUUCCAGGAAUUAGUUGUGAGUUCAUGGCCACCAGAUCAAAUGCCUCUAGACUCUCAGUGUUGCCUCAAAUGAGUGUUUGUUUUCUGUGGCAUGUAGACUCCAUAUUUGCUAUUGUAGGCCAUUUGUUUUUGGUUGUGAUAAAGUUUCAACUCCACAUUACCAUUCGGAGCACACUCUUUGAUGAGCUGCGAAAGUACUGACAAAUGAAUGAAAUGACCCAAGUCAAUUCAUGGCUUGGAUGUACCUUAGGUUUACACAUUUGCAAUUGGUUUGAUAUUGGACAAGUUCUAUGGACUUUCCUUGAUGGGAUAGAGUUGGGUAUGUCUUUAUUCCUACAUGUACUGAUUGUUUAUUCUGACGGGCUGAUUAAUAAACUCACUGCUGACUUCUUCUCUUAUGGUUUUAAGAAGGAAAAUAAUGGAACUAUUAUAGUUUUUGUCCCUAGAGAUACUAUCUUGGAUGUGAUUGAUAUCAAUUAUAUGAAGCCUAUUAAGUUUAAGUUGUCAUUACUAUAAACUAUUGCUCGAUUACGUCUACUAAGUUGUGAUACAGUGGAGGUUCUUCCAUUGUUUUUUUUGGUCAUAGUAGUUGUUUGAUAGAGCUACUGUUACUGUAGUCUAUGUCCAAAAGGAAGAAAAGAAGUAAUAUUUUGCAGUCUCCAUUGACAGGAAUGAACUUCUUGUGUUACUCUUGCCGCAUUUAAACACUUACUAUGUGCAUCCUCUCAGGACUUCUCCUUUGAGGAUAGUCAAACUAUACGGAAGCAUGACGGGUGAUGUGGCAGAUAAACAUCAAAUGAGAUGUGAAAUGUCGACUUUUUCAUGGAUCCGGUGGUUCAUUUGCAUCUGUUUGCACGCCAAACAUAUCAAGUUGAGUCAUUCUGAGGAAAUAACUAACAACAACUUAAGAGGACGGUUGAGUGACAGCAAAGCAAAUGGAUAUAUUUUUGCGAUAAAUUGGUUGGCUCAGUCGGCAUUGCUUAUUCUUCUAAAGCUUACUUCAGAAUAUUUCCCCGAAAGAGUGAUUAAGUCUGUGUUCUGCUCGUGUAAACACAUUCAUGGGAUUUUGCAAUUUGCGAGAGAAAAAUUGCAAUCUUUCCCUGUCUUAAAACUUCAAUUCAAAAAAGAAGGGUAUACAAUUGCAUCUCUACAGUUUGAAGUUGCUUCAGUUGUUGAACACUGGCUAGAACUUUUUCUAAAGGCACGAACUUUAUUUCUUUCAUCGAUAAUUGUCCACGAUAAUAGAAAGCUCUGGAUUGUUUCAAUUGAACAAGUCGUUUGCCUGCAAGUUGGUUAUUGGCAUUGGAAUUUUUGUGGGUGCUCUAUACUUCCUAAGGAACAAACCAAAUCAUCAACUGCUAUUCAAGUAUUCAACAAUGACCUUGAGGACAAGGUCGAUUUUAAGUGGGAAGGAUUGUCAUGACCUGUAUUAAUGGUCGCGUGAGAGACAUACAUUAGGGUCACGUGAGAAGCACGGACAGUCCACUUCAAUAUAAAUACAAUGAACUAUUGUGAAGGAGGGAACAAAUUAUUUUGGUAAAAUCCCAAUGAUCUUUUUCUCUCAUUCUCUCAUUUCUCUCUCUUCUUCCUAACUAGUUCUUCUUCCUCCUCUCGACUAAUUCUAUCCUUAAUUGCCAUUGAAGGUGAUGAUUGGAGCUUCUAUGGCAACUUAUCUCUCAUAGUAUCCAAUUCAAUUUAUCAAUUGUAAUAGCUAAUUUGUAUUGAAUUUGGAUUAGCAAUAAAAAUUUUCCUUUCACGAUUUCAAUUUUUCUUUCAUUAUCAAAGUACAUAACAAUUGGUAUUAUAGAACGAACCUGACUCGACUGUGGGUAGUAAUUUGAAGAAGAUGUUUGUGGAAUCAUCGACUUUGACUGAAUUGGUUGAACGAAAUAAUGCCAAUAGCAGGGCCUUUGUGGAUGGAAUUUCUAGAAUAAUUGUGAAUUUAAAACAAUUUCAGAGUUGGGGUAAGGAUUGUAUAUUCAGUGUUGACUGCUAAUGCAACUCAUGCGUUUCUGGGUGUUUCCAUCGCGUUGACUGCCAAUGAGGUUUUUGUCUUAAUGUCUAUUCGGGGGAAAUGAAUGAAGGGGACAACCAAUCUGAGGUGGAUUCUUGCAACCAGGCUAUUGUUGAACUGCUGAAAGUGGAAAAUACCAGUGAGGUCAAUUUAGAGUACAAAGCAGAUCAGGUGUUUGGCGAAUUUUCUCAAUGGGUAGAAGAUGAAAUUCUAGUUGAACUUUACUCCAUCCACAAUACAAAUACCACGGAGAUCGAAAUCGUGGGCUUACGUUUGAAUUCACGACUUUAUGUUCUUGAUGUUGAGGAUACAAUAUCGAAAUUGAUAUGUCUCAACAAUUUGCCAUGCAAGGGACAUAAACUAGAUAUAGAGUUUGGUGGCAAGCUAUUCAAUAUAAAGCUGGAAAGGCAUUGUUUGGCAGAAUGUUGUGGCCCGCUUACAACUACUGGUUUUCUUCCAUAAGCUUUGGGUUUAAACAGCUGUAAUUGGGUUGACGCAGGGCAAGCUUUCUGGGCUUUCCUUGAUAGGGUAAAGUAAGGUAUGUAUUCAUUCAGUUGUAGUUUGCUUACCACAUUUCUUGGCACUACAAGUCAUUAUUCAAUUAUUGUUGUGGAUGAUUUCAAGAAGAUCAUUCAUAUGUUAUCUUGUCACAUUGAUUCCACGCUCAAUGAUCAAAGUAUUUUGAAUCAAUUUCCCUUUGACCCUGGAGCAAACUUGUUUAUAGUAACCCCUGGCGGAUAUCUCUAAAUUCUACAAUUACAACUUGGGUCUUAUGUAUACACUUUAUUACCUGUGAAGGACAUAUUUCAGCGUUGGGUUUCAGGAAUUAGUUGUGAGUUCAUGGCCACAAGAUCAAGUGCCUCUAGACUCUUUGUGUUGCCUCAAAUGAGUGGUUGUUUUCUGUGGCAUGUGGACUCUAUAUUUGCUGUUGUAAGCCAUCUGUUUUUGGUUGCGAUAAAGUUUCAACUCCACAUUACCAUUCGGAGCACACUCCUUGAUGAGCUGCGAAAGUACGGACAAAUGAAUGAAAUGACCCAAGUCAAUUCAUGGCUUGGAUGUACCUUAGGCUUACACAUUUGCAAUUGGUUUGAUAUUGGACAGGUUCUAUAGACUUUACUUGAUGGGGUAGAGUUGGGUAUGUCUUCAUUCCUACAUGUGUUGAUUGCUUAUUCUGACGGGCUGAUUAAUAAACUCACUGCUGACUUCUUCUUUUAUGGUUUUGAGAAGGAAAAUAAUUGAAAUAUUAUAGUUUUUGUCUCUGGAGAUACUAUCUUGGAUGUGAUUGAUAUCACUUAUAUGAAGCCUAUUAAGUUCAAGUUGUCAUAACUAUGCACUAUUGCUCGAUUACGUCUACUAAGUAGUGAUACAGUGAAGGUUCUUCCCUUGUUAUUUCGGUCAUAUCAGUUGUUUGAUGGAGCUAUUGUUACUGUCUAUGUCCAAAAGGAAGAAAAGAAGUAUCAUUUUGCAGUCUCCAUUGACAGGAAUGAACUUCUUGUGUUACUCUUGCUGCAUUUAAACACUUACUAUGUGCAUCCUCUCAGGACUUCUCCUUUGAGGAUAGUCAAACUAUACAGAAGCAUGACGGGUGUUGUGGCAGAUAAACAUCAAAUGAGAUGUGAAAUGUCGACUUUUUCAUGGAUCCGGAGGUUCAUUUGCAUCUGUUUGCACACCAAACAUAUCAAGUUGAGUCAUUCUGAGGAAACAACUAACAACAACUUAAGAGGAUGGUUGAGUGAAAGAAAAGCAAAUGGAUAUAUUUUUGCGAUACAUUGAUUGGCUCAGUCGGCAUUGCUUAUUCUUCUAAAGCUUACUUCAGAAUAUUUCCCCAAAAGAGUGAUUAAGUCUGUGUUCUGCUCGUGUAAACACAUUCAUGGGCUUUUGCAAUUUGCGAGAGGAAACUUGCAAUCUUCUCCUGUCUCAAAACUUCAAUUCAAAAAAGAAGGGUAUACAAUUGCAUCUCUACAGUUUGAAGUUGCUUCAGUUGUUGAACACUGGCUAGAACUUUUUCUAAUGGCACGGACUUCAUUUCUUUCAUCAACAAUUUUCCAAGAUAAUAGGCAUCUCUGGAUUGCUUCAAUUGAACAAGUCGUUCACCUGCAAGUUGGUUAUUGGCAUUGGUAUCUUUGUGGGUGCUCUAUACUUCCUAAGGAACAAAUUAAAUCAUCAACUUCUAGUCAAGUAUUCAACAAUGACCUUGAGGACAAGGUCGAUUUUAAGUGUGAAGGAUUGUCAUGACCUGUAUUAAUGGUCGCGUGAGAGACAUACAUUAGGGUCACGUGAGAGGCACGGACAGUCCACUUCAAUAUAAACACAGUGAACUAUUGUGAAGGAGGGAACGAAUUAUUUUGGUAAAAUCCCAACGAUCUUUUCCUCUCAUUCUCUCAUUUCUCUCUCUUCUUCCUAACUACUUCUUCUUCCUCCUCUCGACUAAUUCUAUCCCCAAUCGCCAUUGAAGGUGACGAUUGGAGCUUUCAUGGCAACUUAUCUCUCGUAGUAUCCAAUUCAAUUUAUCAAUUGUAAUAGCUAAUUUGUAUUGAAUAUGGAUUAGCAAUAAAAAUUUCCCUUCCGCGAUUUCAAUUUUUCUUUCAUUAUCAAAGUACAUAACAGUGGACCACCCAGCAACACCUCCCUCGAUUUGUCUCCUCUCCACUGCCUCCCGCCAGCUACCGAAACCCAUCACACCACUGCAAAGUCACCACCAGUGGACAAUGCAGCGCUGAUGCCGCCGUCAGCCUGCUCCAUUUUGCAGAACCAAUCAACCAAUGGUAACACAAUCAGCUAUCGCCGUUGCUGCAUAACCUGCACACCGCACCAUCACCGCCAUAGCACAAGCCAAACCAGUGUUGCACUCUUCUCUUGUUGCUUCUCUCCGAUGAAAAUAAUCCAACAGCCACUGUAUGAAAUCGACAUCCAAACCCAUCACUGCCUAGCUAUUGCUGCCCCCUCACUGCUGCUGUUUUGUUUUGUACAGAGAAUUGAAAAUAUAAUUUGAUAAAAUAACAAAACAAUGAGAGAAACACAAGUUCUUUUAUUAAUCAACGUGUAGAAAAACUAUUACAACAUUGAUCACUAACUAACUCUAUUGGUGAACUUGAACCUGAGAAAGAAAGAACACAAAAGAUUUAGCUGAAGAGAAGAGGAUCGAAGAAGAAGGGAAUAGUAGUUAGGAAAUUGUAGCUGAAAUUACCAGAAUUUGUGUAAGUUUCACGCUCUUAAUUGGUGACUUUAUAGACUCCUUAGCUGUUGGACUCGGAUCUAUGAUUUGAGCCUGAUUCUAUGUUUGGGCCGCUUUUAUUCUCCGACCCAUUGACUGGCCUAUUCCAUUAAGAGCUCACCCACCACACACGUGACUUUAUUUACAGAUGUACAACAUAUUAUCUUUUCCCUUUAUACACUUCGCCAAUUAUUUUCUCUCUAACUUCUCUCUAACGGCUCUCUCUCUCACUAGACUCUCUCUCUCACUAGACUCUCUAUCUCGGUCCACGGCCUUCGGCGCCGUCGCCGACCGUCGGCGCCGACCCGACCCGACCACCGGUCCCCGGCAUCGACCUCCGUCGCCGGGAAAACUUAUUUGCCUAUUCUUUUGUUUUUGCAGCUUCUUGGCAACCAUGGUCCUCUUGCUGCACGUCAGCCUGGAACAGCCUUUCUUACAUCUGCUUAGGGAAUUGAAGUGGCAUAAUCCUACAAAUAGCAUAUUUAGUUUUCUACUUUGUUGAAUGAAACUUCGUUGCUUGAAUUUCUUAUUUUGCAUGGAACUUAUUAGUAUCUAUGUUGAACAUCUUCAUUUCAUUAUGUUGUUUUAAUUUACUCUUAUGAUUAAGGGUUUUAUCUUUACGAAUUGAGAGGUUCCCCAUCUUUAGGAAUUGAUACCGUCUCAAGACCGGCAUCAUAAAACACAUUCUAAUCCAUAUCUCCAACUAAUAGAUUCUAUUAGUGUCAGUAUUUUCCCAUGAAAGUUGAAAGAUGGUUUGGUUUUGUUCAAUCAAUUAGUAAAAAUUUCUGCUUUACAUUGAUUUCAACUUUGGUGGAAAGAUAUGGCAUGGUAUACUUCUACGAUAUUCAUAAACAUUCUCAUCAGCUAGAUCAAAUUAAUAAUGCUUAAUUGGAAGUAUAAGUUUUACAUCAUCAUGAACAAAUUAAUAUGCUCAAUAUCUGAAGAAAUGUGCAAGAAAGCAAACUUGUCUGUAAGUAUGGAAAUGAGCUGGCACAUAUAUAUAGUAUUGUCCCUUGAGUACAUUGUCUCAUUGGUGAGCAAAUAGUGAGUUAUUCCUCCGCCAUUAUAGUUUAUUUCAGUGCCAGGGUGAACGGAACAUUUGAUGAAGUAGCAAAAUGAAUUGAGUAUGAUGAACUUACAGAAUCCAACCAUCCCAGUACAAGAAUCAGGAUGUACAAACAUUUCAAAAGACCAAAAAUCAACUAGUUUGCAUUUAAUAGGCCAUAAAAGUAAAUAUCCUCAAAAUGAUGGUAGAAAGUUCCAAAACAUGACUUAUUAUUUCCUGUUCAAAACAAAAAUACAAACAGAGGUCCUCCCUCGUUCAAAUGGGGAAUGUAACAUUAGUAUCUGUGUUCUAACUUCUCCUUCUCCUGGAAGUGCUGCACAUACCUGCAUGCAUCAAGAAACAUCAUGGCUAUGAACUGAGCAACAUCUUGACUUAGCAAAGAAUACAUAUAUUGUAAUGAAGUCAAAAGAAAAUCAUUCCGUUUCAGUGAUCCAAUAGCAAAGGGGAAAGGGGGAAGGUGAACUGACUCGACAAGCUCAAGCAACAGAAGAUGUAAACAAUUACCACAAUCGCUUGAUAAAAUUCACUCUGUCUGAGUGCAGCUCAAAUACUAUGAUCCGGAUUAAUCUCUUAUCAUUGAGACAAGUUACAACUUAAAAUAACUAAGAACUUUCACAUGCUUGGAGACAACGUUGAACAAAAUAAAGAAAGUCGACUAGUUAAUCACAUUUACCUUGACCAAAUAAGAAUAGCAAAAAUACUUUAAUUAAGAUUCAGUUAGAGGCAUAAUACCUCAUUAGAGCUGUAAACUUGGUGAUAUAUUCUUGAACAAUUUACUAGUAUGCACACUUGUCUGAUUUGUGAAAGUACACAACAAUUAUCUAACUAGUGUCAAACACGUUCUCAAAUGUUAAUAUCUUAUUAACCUUACAUUUUCAAUCUGUAAGUAGGGUCAAAAGACGCUGAUCUCAGCUUCAGCAAUUAAAUAUUUGUAGAAGCAAAUGUCUUCAAUAAGUAUAAAUUGGCAUUGUGCAAUUGUAGAUUCACAGUGUAUGAAGGUCUCAUGAAUGCCUGGAAAUAAUGCUCUUAUGCAUAUUCUAAUGGCUCUUCACAGUUUGUAUGUUAUAUUCCAACUAAAAUCUGAGCAACUAAGUUCCAUACUAAGCUACAGCCUUCAGUUGGACUGGCUAUACAUUUCUACUCAAGAGAACUAAUGUGCAACACUUCCUAUCCAACCCCACCCAAGAAAGGGGCGUAUGCCAAGUUGGUGGAGAGUAAGGACGAAGAGGAGAAACGGGUAAACAGGAAAGAGUACAAGCUAGCGAGGAAGGAGGCUAAGUCAGCAGUCACGGCAGCUAAGACGGCCGCCUUUGAGAGCCUGUAUGCAGGGUUACAGGGGAAGGGAGGGGAGAAAAAGUUGUUUAGACUCGCUAAGGCUAGGGAGAGGAAGGGUCGUGACCUCGAUCAGGUGAGGUGCAUUAAGGGGGAGGACGGUAGAGUGUUGGUGGAAGACGGCCACAUUAAGAAUAGAUGGCAGUCGUACUUUCAUAGGCUCUUGAAUGACGAAGGGGAUAGAGCUAUUGUGUUAGGGGAACUGGAGCACUCAGAGGAGUGUCGGGAUUUUAGCUAUUGUAGACGUUUUAAGGUAGAAGAGGUUAGACAGGCUGUUCGCAGAAUGCGAAGGGGUAGGGCGACGGGGCCGGAUGAGAUACCGGUCGAGUUUUGGAAGUUCGUUGGAGAGGCUGGUCUUAGGUGGUUGACGGGAUUGUUUAAUGAAAUCUUCAAGACGGCAAAGAUGCCCGAGGCUUGGAGGUGGAGCACCAUGAUACCUCUCUAUAAGAAUAAGGGGGACAUCCAGAGUUGCAACAACUAUAGGGGUAUUAAGUUAUUGAGUCACUCUAUGAAAAUCUGGGAGAGAGUGGUCGAGGUGAGGCUGAGACGGAUAGUGUCUAUUUCAGAAAACCAGUUUGGAUUUAUGCCUGGCCGCUCGACGACGGAGGCAAUUCACCUGGUACGGAGGUUGGUGGAACAGUAUAGGGAGAGGAAGAAGGACCUGCACAUGGUGUUUAUCGACCUGGAGAAGGCCUACGACAACGUCCCUAGGGAGGUGCUUUGGAGAUGCUUGGAGGUGAGGGGAGUACCGCUGGCAUAUAUCAGAGCAAUCAAGGAUAUGUAUGAUGGAGCGAAAACUAAGGUGAGGACGGCGGGAGGAGACUCAGAACAUUUCACGGUCCGGACAGGGUUGCAUCAGGGAUCUACUCUUAGUCCCUUUUUGUUUGCAGUGGUAAUGGAUGUGUUGACGCGGCGUAUUCAAGGGGAGGUGCCGUGGUGUAUGCUUUUUGCAGACGAUGUAGUUCUGAUAGCUGAGACCCGAGAGGGUGUGAGCGACAAAUUAGAGGUGUGGAGGCAAACCCUUGAGUAUAAAGGGUUCAGGGUGAGCAGAAGCAAGACAGAGUAUGUGGAAUGCAAGUUUAAUGACAUGAGGAGGGAGAACGAGGUAGUAGUGAAGCUGGAAUCACAGGAGGUAGGUAAGAGGGAGAGUUUCAAGUAUCUCGGGUCCGUGAUCCAGAGUAACGGUGAGAUUGGUGAGGAUGUCUCGCACCGUAUUGGGGCGGGAUGGAUGAAGUGGAAGCUCGCGUCGGGGGUGCUGUGUGAUAAGAAGGUGCCGCCUAAGCUUAAAGGCAAAUUCUACAGGGCGGUAGUCCGUCCGGCCAUGUUGUAUGGAGCGGAGUGUUGGCCAGUUAAGAACUCCCACAUCCAGAAGAUGAGGGUGGCAGAAAUGCGGAUGUUGCGCUGGAUGUGUGGGCUGACUAGAGGGGAUAGAGUUCGGAAUGAGAACAUCCGGGAGAAGGUUGGUGUGACACCAGUGGAGUGCAAGAUGCGGGAAGCCCGAUUGAGAUGGUUCGGACACGUGAAGAGGAGGGGCAUGGAUGCCCCGGUCCGUAGGUGUGAGAGGCUAGCGUUGGAUGGGUUUAAGCGGGGUAGGGGUAGGCCGAAGAAGUACUGGGGUGAGGUGAUUAGGCGAGACAUGGAGCAGUUACAGCUCACCGAGGACAUGACCCUAGAUAGGAAGGUCUGGAGGACGCGAAUCAGGGCAGAGGACUAGGGCCAGCCUGAGUCGCUAGUGUAGGGAACUACUUGGUGGGGGUUUAUGCAUGUUAGGAGCCCGCGUCCCAUGUUUUAUUAUGGAUCUGUGUGUUUUCCUUUGUUUUAGAUUACUUAUGGGUGCCGUAUUCAUGUUAUGUAAUCUUGUAACCUUGUGCUGUGCUUUACUAUGUGUUUGUGUGGUACCGCGUGUCUUGAGCCGGGGGUCUAUCGAAAACAGCCUUCUACUUCUUCAGAGGUAGAGGUAUGGACUGCGUACAUCCUACCCCCCCCAGACCCCACCAGGUGGGAAUACACUGGGUUUGUUGUUGUUUGUACACUUCGCCAAUUGUUCAGUGGACACUACACGUCUCCACGCCGUUCUCGACAAGUUUCACAAAAAAAUAAAACAUCAAGAUGUUGAGAUGGAUUCUCAUAAAUGUGAAUUCAUCCCUGAGGUAAUUUUCCGUGUGUCCAUAAUCAUGCUUAAUUGCUAUUUUUAUUCUUUAUUUCGUAUUUUUAUGCUUUGUUUAUAUUCAUGAUCCUAAAAUUUGUGUCUCUUGUUUGACAGUUAUUAUUUAUUUCUCGAUGAUUCUUGUAUGUUUUUUCAUUUGGAUGACAUGUGAAUAUAUCCAAUUACUAAAAAAUAGUAGAACUAAACAGAUACUGACACUAACAGAGUUAAUUCCAACAGCAACCUACUAAUGCAAUAAUGAAUGUUGACUUGAUAGAACUAAAUAGAUACUGACACUAACAGAUUUGAUCCAUAGAACUACAUAGUGAUACUAACAGAGCUAAUCCCAAUAGCAACCAACCAAAUGAAUGAGUUAUUAGAUAACUAUAUACUAACACUAAUAGGGUUAAUCCCAAAAGAAACCAACCAAAUGAAUGAGUUGUUUUUAGCUAAAAUCAAAUGCAACUAUGAAACAAGAAAAACCAAUGUAGCUUGUACCUACCAGAAAAUUUAUUCUUUUUCUUACCUUGUUCAAGUUGCUAUAUGUUAUCAAUGCUAGGUUCUUUUCCAAGUUUGGCCAAAUCUAAGGAAAUUAAAAGAACAAGUUAAGACUCAAGAAACAAAAAUAUUAAAUAAAAAAUUUACCAAAUACAAGGUGUUUUUGUUACCUUGUUCAAGUUGCUCAAGAGAAUCUAAAUCCUCCUCGACACUUAUAGGUUGUGAUUUACUUCAAAUCCAAUCUUGUAGACACACUAGAGAUUGUACCAAUUUGGGAGUUAAUGAACUCCUAAAUGAAUCACGAAUAUGCCCCUUGGUACUAAAAACAUAUUCUGAUGCUACACUUGAAAUACGAAUAACUAAAAUAUCUCGAGCCAUCUCAAAAUGAAAGGGAAAUCUAGCCGAGUUAUAUUUCCACCAAAGCAAUAAACUUAAUUGGCCUUUCCAUCUUCAAUAUCUUUUACAAGAUAUUUAUUCAAUUCCGACUUAGAAUUUCUGGAUCUACUCCCAGAAGUGUGUUUACUCAACUCCUCAUAAAAGUCACCAAUAUCUUCCUCAACCAUAGAGAUUGAACUAUAAGCCUCCACUUUUGAAAAUAGUUUACCACCUUUGUCUUUUGAAGCAGACUAUGAAUACUUAUCAAAUAAUAAUUUUAUGUACUCUCGUACAUAUUUCCAGUAGUUGGCGCUUUAUCCCCAAACAUCUUUUUAAGUGCAAAAUCUAGAGUGACAAAUUUAUGACGAGGAUUCAAAACACAAGGUAUAAAAAGCAUCUUAUUUAUUUUUGUUGGAUCACCCCAAUAUUUUUUUAAAUUUCUUCUUCAUGUUUGUUACCAUUUAAGCCAAUACACUAUCAUCACUUGAUAUCAAUUCUGUCAAGUAAAAAUCAACUUGACAAAUUUCAAGAAAAUGAAUAUUUGAUUUAAUAUACAAUGAUCCAGAUACCUUCAAAGUAAGCUUAAAAAAUAAUUUAAGAAAUUUUACAAUUCUUUUUACACUAUACCAAUCACCACUCAAAAGUGUACCUGCAGGUUGUUCACCCAUAGUAUCACUAUCACCAUCACACAUAUGAAUAUGACCAAACUCGAGAUGAUGUACCAAACCAAUAUCACGAUUAGCAAAAUUUAAAAUUGUACCCUCAUAUUCAAUAGCCCUGUUCAACAUCAAGUAGGUGAAAUUCUACCUUGUGGGAACAUCUAAGCAUAAAGACUUCUUUGCAAGAUUUUCAUCUUCACAACAUUCUUGAAAGUUCUUCCAUCAAGCAGGAGAUUGCCUAAUGUAUCUCACUGCUUGCCUGAUUCAUUCAAUAGAAACAGUUGCUUCUUUCAUGUCAUCCUGAAUGACAAGGUUUAUGAUAUGCUCCAUACACUAACAUGAAGAUGCUUACCACCCAUAAGAUUGGUUCCCUACUUAGUCAAUUUCUUAGACAUCUCAACCACACACACUAUUUGAACUAGCAUUAUCAACAAUAAUCGUGAAAAUUCAAUGCAAUCCCCACUCAUACAAACACUUAAUAUCUUUACCCCUAUGGCUAGAAAUUGGACAAAAAUUGAUAAUUCUUUUAUGCAAAGUCCAAUUUUUAUCAUUCUAAUGAGCAGUAAUACACAUAUAAUUGAUUCUUUGCACAAAAGUUUAAGUAUCAAUCGUUAUACAUAUUUUUUGUUGAGUUUCCUUAAAAAUUCUCCUCAUUUUAUUCUUCUUUUAUCAAAGAGAUCAAAACAAUCAUGAGUAACAGUUGUAAGAUAAGGAAUUCGAAACAAAGGUUGUACCACUUUCAUAAAUUAUUUAAAGCCUUCUUUUUCAACAAAUCUAAAAGGAAGCUCAUCAAGAAUUAUCAUACGACAUAAAGAUUUUCUACCCUAUUCUUGAUCAAAUUUCCAUAAAAGGAUUGAUACAUCACCCUUGUUACCCCAUGUAACCUGUUGAAAUGUUAUCUUUGAUUGCCUAGUAUCAACAUUAUGAAGUAAUUUUUUGCAUCUUUUAUAUGACCAAGCAUUGUCAUUGUACCAUGUUCUUUUGUAUAAGCUAAAUACUCUUGUUUUCAAUAAUUACACAUACCCUUUUUAAUUCUUUCCGAAUAAACUUUACAAGUAAAAUGAUCCCACACAACAAAUCUUUUUCUCCUUAUUCUUUGAUUUAGACUCAACUGUCGGACUUUGAUUCACUAUAUUCGAAUCAGAAGCUAUACUCUUACCAAUCACUUUAUCAACUCUAGUAUUUUGUAUCAUUUAGUUAUAUCAAUGUGACUGUAAUGGUAAAAGAAAAAUAAUCAAACAACAAACCAACAAAAAAAUUUCAACAUAACAUGACCAAAACUUGACAAUAUACAUAGAGCAUAAUAGACCACACCAUAGAAUAUCAGCAUGCAAGCAUUAAUCAGUGACUUACUGACUUCACAUUAAUUCAGUAACUUAAGACAACACAAUGUAUUCAUCCAACCAUAUAUAAUAUUGUCGAUUAUCAGAUAAAAUAUGAUUUCGACACAUAUUGCUAAGUAAUCUCAACAUAUAUAUCAGGACUUUUAAAAUCAGAUGUCCCUUUUUUUAGCAUUACAUUGCGAAGAGUCUAAGACUGGUCAAGACUCAAGACAUUGUUGUUUACUAGAUCAGCCAAAUUAACUCAUAAAAAGUUGGUUGGAAGGUUUGGCUAUGGUCCAACUCCAACACUAGUAAGGCAGUAACCAAUGUUUGAACAAAAUAGCCCCAAAUAGCCAAUCGCAGAACAACAUUGUCAUCACUCUCAAAAUAUAAAAAUAAGAAAUUGAAACAUUGUUUAACACCAGUAAGUUGUUUAUCACUCACAACAAGGAGUACAAGCAUGACAAAAAACAUUACUUAUUCAUUUGUAAAGUCAGAAAACUAAACUUUGCAAGCACAACUAGAUCAAUCUUUUAACUGAACUGCAAUUUCACAAUAAAUUAGCUUAAUCAACUAGUAAUGUAACUAUAUAAGCAAAUAACACCUGAAUUCUUCAAAAUUACUAUCCAUUUAUUAAAAUCAGCUAUUCAAGUUACACAGAUGACAAGAUCGAAAGACAUGCAAAGAUACAAAUGAGAUGGUCUUUAGCAUAAUACAUCGAAGAUUGGACAGAAAUUGAAGAUGAAGAAGAAGACUAUCUAAGAAUGAGAUGGAACAAAACUUGUUACCUGUUGAGCACAACAACAACAGCUGAGUAGUAAAUCAUCAUUGGUCUCUAGAGUUUUCAACAAAAAUUGAGCUUGAAUACUGAGUUUUGGUCUAUGUUAGUGAAUACUGAGAGUGAGAGACUGAGAGGUGCUAAGACAAAUGUGAAAUCAUGAAUAAACUAUUAAACCCUAAGUCUCUAACUCUAACUGCACAAUUAGGCUUGGGAAAUGGGAAUGAAUCGCUUUUGCCUUUUGGGCCAGUGGGUAAUGGGUAUUGAGAAUAUAAUGGGGCUGAGACCUAUGUGUUAUUUAUCGGGUUAUUCGGUAACCUGAUAAAAAAGUUAAGUAAAUUGAGGCCCGAAUUGACAAAUCAGUAAUAGAAAUUUUAAACCCGACACUCAACCCAAUAAUUAAAAAAUUGACCUGUUAACCCGAUAAACAAAUUAUCGAUUCGGAUUAACGGGUUAAAUCAAAAUCUGCAUAGCCCUAUGGGCUACAACUUAUAGAUGUAACAAAAAUAAAAAAUUUACACUAUAUAGAUAGGAGGAGCAGACAACAACUUUCCUGCAAAGCAAUAUUAGAGCAUUUGCAUAAACAACACCCUUACUACAACGGAAACCAACGAAGCUAUACCUUUACCACCAAAUGGGGUUAAUUAUUGAAAAUGCCAUCUUAAAGCUUAAGACAAUAAGAGGUAAAAAAAUAUGGGGUUCAUAUCACUAAACCCCAAAAUAAAAAAUAAAAAGAGUAACAAUUGGAGUGAGAAAAAGUAGAAUGCUUGAUACUGGUAUGGUGUUCUUGCUAGCAAUCACAGAGUUUUUUAGAGGUUAAUUUAAUAAUAUUUUUUGACAAAUGAAAAUGAAGAAUCUUCAAGUGAAGAUGUAGUAUCAAGAAAUGACCAUGAAAAGUGGGUCUUUCAUGAGGAAUGUCGAUCCAAGAAAUUACAACAUAUCAUAAUGAAGUUUGUUUAGCUGAAAAAUUCGUUUUGGAUUUUCUUUGUAUAGUAUUGUCAAGAUAGACUAAUUAAGAAGAUAUUUUUUUGAUGAACUAAGCAUGUUCCCUGUACAAAUGGUCAAACAAUAUCAUUCAAAAAAAGUAAAGACGAACUUUCACAAGGUGCAAUAAAUAAACAGUGAACCCCUACUUCUCCCAACUUCUAAUAUUGUAUAUGGAUUAAAAAAAUGAAAUUAAUAUUCCAAAUAUCAUUCAACCACCUUGAAUGCACGUAAUUUGAACUAUCCUAAAUUGAUGAGCAAUUAAAAGUAACAAAUAAAAAUAACUCCAUUGGGUACUCACCCAAAUGCAAAAGUGAACAAGAAAAUAAAUCACAAAUAGGUACAUUUUGAAGAAGCCAAAAGAAUGAAUAAUAAAUAUGGUAUAAUAUAUCAAAAUUAGAGAACAAAAAGGUCAAACCCAGAUGAAACUAAUGCACUGCAACAAAGAUAUUAAAAAAAGAAUACUAAUUUAGAAUUGAAAAAAAAAAAUCUUGAGACCAAGAAACUCAUUCCUGAAUUUUAAAAAUGAUUUCUUAAACGGAGACUAAAGGAUAAGACAUAAAAUUAUAGAAUGGUGUAGUGAAAUUUGAAACCAAAAAUUAUAAAAUUCAAUCAAAAUAUAUCAACUGAAAACAUAAGACAAUAAAAAGUUAAAAGCAUAUUUUGGAUGAAUGAAGAAUACCUAGAGAAACCAACAUGGGUUGUGAUGCAGUGGAUGUGGCUGUUCCACUUUUAACCAGAGGUUGAGAGUUCGAUCCUGUGUAUGGAUAAAACUCUGUUAGAAGUGCUGCCAUCUUAAUGGUCCCUACAAUGCGUGAUCCAGAUUAAUCGGGCUCCAAUACGGACAUCGGACAACCGUAUGGAAAAAAAAAAAAAAGAAGAAUACCUAGAGAAACUGAACAAAACUAUGAUAUGUCUGUUUAUUUCAAGGGUUAAAAGACACGUUGCAUAAACUGUGUUUAAAAUCUAAAAUAUCCUUAUGCUAAUUUAAAAAAGAAAACUAGAAGGAACGUUCUUUUCUCUCUCAUAUCUUUCAUGCAAAAACCCUUAAAAAAAACUCAACUUUUACCAGAUUCUAUCGCCACAAGAGCCACCCCUCGACAAUUGGUAAGAUAUCUUAAAUGUCGCCUGACCUACUCCAAGAAUUAUAUCACCCAAAGAGCCCACCAUUAUCAAAAAAUCAAAACCCUUAAUCCAGAUAUUGCCUACGGUUGAUUUGCCUAGCAAGGAUGGGAAUACUGAAUCCAGUGGUGAUUUGUAUAAUCAGAGGGGCAAAAUACAAUAUGUGGAUUUAGUUAAACCAAUCAAUAUUAAUGUGUAAGGCAAAUAAAAUAUGGAGCAGUCGGAUCUAUUCCUGUCAAUAGUUUGUCAUACAACAACAGUGUUCCUAGGGUAACAGGAACUGAAGAGGAGGUACUAAAGAUAAAUGUAAUAAAGAGUUUGCAGUAUGCAAUUAUUGAAAUUUUUUUGUAUAGGUGGCUUGAGUUAGAGGAGCUCAGACUUCAAAUGUCAAAAUAGUGUAAGGUACAAAGGGAAUUGUAAGAUUGGCUUUUGGAAUAGGCAUAUCCUCAUGAGAUUUAAACUUAUUGAGGAUUAUGUAAAUAUAUUAUCAAAAAAUGAACAUUGUAUUAUGGCAAAGGAUGGAAUCUUAUCAGAUGACACCACUCAUAUAUGAAACAAGGUUUACAUUUGAUGAAGAAAUCACUCAGGCUAUGACAUGGAUCUUCUUCCUAGAUUUAUUGCCUACUUUUUUUUAAAAAAAAAGUCUACUUUUUCACUUGAUACGGAUGUAGGAAAACCAAUGCAUUUAGAUAUGACAACAAUCAACAAGAUAUGAUCAAGUUGUACCUGGGUGAAAAUUUAAGUUGAUUUGGCAAGUGAGGUGUCGGAGUAUGUGGAGCUAGAGGUUGUUGGGAGCUGUGAGAAGGGGUUGAGGACUGAAAAAAUCAAAAUUCAAUAUGACUUUCUUCAAAAAUACUAUAAAAAAUUACAAACUACAGGUUCAAAAUGAAGAGGGAUAUAUUAUGUCCAAGAAGAGAUAAUUAAAGCAGAAGAAGAAAAAGUGAGUCCCAAGCGGGAUAGCAGGCCUAGAACCUAUCGGGGGUAGAAGAGGGACACAAAAAGGUGGAAUUCUACAAGUAGAUUUGUGGUUGAAAUAAAUCCAACUACUUGAGUGAUAAAAAUGUCUUACCAAGAGAAAAGAAUGUCCAUUCAGAUAACCCUUUUCAAACCUUAGCUGAUGUGAAUGAUAAUGAGGAGUAGGUGGGAAGUGC